GUCAAUGAUCUGCUGCAUCAAAGAGAGAAACUCAGGUUGUUGGCUGACAAUACCUUCAACCUCCUUCAAAGCCGAGUCCCUUUGUGCAGCCAAUUCUGCCUUGUUACUUUCUAAGGCCUAAAUUCGUUUCUCCAGUUGAGCUAUCUUGGCAGCUUGUACUGUUUUGAUUCCAGAUAGUUGAGGGUACAAUUAUAACAGCACAAAUUAAUGGGGCAGAUCUUGAGGUUACCUUUUGAUGAGCCACUCAGUUCAAAGUUUGAAUCCUGGAGUUGGGUAAUCCGGUCUGUCGGUGAUAUGGGACCGGGGGUAUUGCGCCCGGAGGCUUGAGGCAGAUGGAAUCGCCCACGUGGCCUGGCACCUUCGGGGACGUCGGGCCCGAGGGUGAGGUGUCCGCCCUCCUCCUGAUUUCCCCGAGGGGGGGUCGGGUUGCUCCUGCCCCGGCCCCGAGGGCCGAGGUGCCCCGACCCCCUGUGGGGUUUGCACUAUGUACAUAGGUUGGGUGAACACGAUAGGGCUCACCUAACCGCAUUUAUUGCGGUCUGGUCAAGCGUGUCACGCUGCAUGCAGCGCAAUGCAGCGCGCUCUUUUAUCCGGUCUGUGACCAGUCACAGACCGGUCAGAUCAACGGUUAGGUGGCGACUGGCGGUCUGACGCACGCCUCGCCCCGUCCCGUCAAGACGAGAGCCUCUAGGCACACGUCUCCAGCCGGAGCUAGCGUGUUACCUCUUAGAGAUGGCACGUUAGCCCUGGUUAGAUGAAUACCAGGCUUCAUCCCAACCAUUACAGGCAGGAUGCUACAAAAAGAAGGGUGAUCAUGCAGAUCGCUGAACUGACGCAUAGAGGACAAGAAUGACCGAUCUGUGACCGGUCUGACACUGGUCGCGUCAGCAUCAGACAACCACGAUCCCGCGUUGCGCCUGUCUCCGCCGGGAGUGGAGGUAGGUGUGGGCUGUCCCAUCGAAGUGUCAUUCGGACGGCAACCAUACCAAUCUCCGUCCAUAAAGAGAAGAAAAGUCCAGUUUGGAAAGGGAAGGGUACAUGUGGUAUCCCCUUAAGAUAUAAAAGGAGGACCAUGCCCACAAAGAGCGGGGGCUGGAUUUUCCCGGGAGAGGAGAGGGCUAGUUGAUGUUUUUGUAACUUGCUCUUACACAGAUCCACCAAAAACACAGGAGUAGGGUAUUACGCUUCCCAGCGGCCCGAACCUGUAUACAUCGUCCGUGUCUCGCGUUUCUUCCUGGCACGCAAUCUUCCCACACACAGAGAGAGCUUGAGAUCUCACCCUAAGCCCCCGGCCGAACCGGCAAAGGGGGGCCUGCGCGGUCUCCCGGUGAGGAGCCACCAGCUCCGUCACGGUCCCUUAGAUCAUGCUCUGUCUUUUUAGCAAGCUCUUUGGCUUCGUGUAGCUGAUCCCUAACCGCUUCAAGGGUCCCUAAAUGAGGAACCAGCUUUUCUAAAGUUGUGGUUUUGGCCUCAUUACGGAGAUGGAUUCUCUGCGCAAUGAUUCACGGUUUAGUCUUGCUGAGAAGGAAACAAGGUCGCCAAAGGCAGCCACCUGGAAGACUUACAUUUACAAUGCGGGUAGCUUCUCCGAGUGCUUUCUUCAGCUGGCGCACCUCUUCGUCUUCUUUCUGUCGAUUUAUGACGAUGCCUGCAGGUUGCAAGUUGUCGUCCCACCAAUUGAUUAAGAUGGGGGGACGAGAAUCAGCAGUUGCCUUUAUGCGAGAGAUUUCUUCUCUGUCACCGGCCAGUGGUCCUGAUGUAUUUCCAGACAUUAGGCAAGCAAAUCGGAGUUAUUCAGAUUAGCAUUACUUGAGAAGAUAGGUUACCUGAAGCAGUUUCCGGUUGAGCGUGAGGUGAUCCUUGCCCUUUAUCUGGGGACCCAGGCGUUGGGUCGUUACCAGCGUCCAGUCCUUGGGAAGUCGUAGCCUGAACUUCAACUUCAGGAAUUUCUUGAUCUGGACAUACUUCCGACUGAUUACCAGUCGGGGGCUCUUGGCUUGUUGCAAUUUCCGCUUCUGCUGACUGGUUUCCAGUCGGGGGCUAGUCGCUUGGGUUGAUAUUAUCAGUUGAGGUCUGAGCGCCAGUCGGGUGGUCCUCAGUAGUCGGCCCAGCUUCUUUGGAUGAACCUGUCUCUGUCUUAGCUGGAUCAGAGUCCUUCCCGGAUGGAUCUAUGUCAGACGGUUUCCUGCAAGUUUUCUUCCAGUUUUCAAUAUUAUCUUCAUGAGAGAGGCAUGUCGAAGUGAAAUGGUACCGAAUGGUUUAUACCUGGAGGAUUUUCUGAACUUUGGCAUGGGGCGGCUAGACAAUUUCUUCUUCGGAGCAGUGUGCUUUGGUAAUUUUUUGGGUGAUCCCUUAUCCCCAAAUUUAUUAUUGUCGUCGCCUUCGUCGUCGCUCGGCACAAGCUUUCUCUUGCGAGAAUCUGAUUGCCCAGUCGGAUUGGGAGUUUUGGAUUGGGAGUCUGACCUGAUUUUUGGUCCUCCACUCCCCUGAAUGGUCUGAUGACGAGGAGAUCGGCGUUGAGCAAUCGGGGGGUCAGACUUCAUCAAAGCAAAUUCCUGAAUGAAAUGCCUCCAUGGUCAGUUAAUUCAACAAGAAGACAAAAUUAUGUUUUGGUCACGGUUUGAAGAGUUCUGAUACAUACCAGCGGAGGUGGGUUGAAUGCAUUAUAUGGCACGACUGGCAGCAGAUGCGAAUAACUGACAACGAUGGCGUUUGAGAAUAUCUUGUACAUCCUCUCCUUCAUGAUCUUAAAGUCCAGAGAAUCUGGGUCUUCACGGUUUGGAUCAUGUUUACCAUCAAACUCGAAAGCUGUGCGGGAUCUUUCUUUGAUUGGAGCUAAUCGGCACUUAAUGAAAUGCCGAGUGAUUUGCUCUCCCUGUAAGCCUUGCUCCUUGAGCUUCAACAUGCGCUCCAUCAGUUCUAAGGCUUGGGCAGCUUCAUCUCCCAUGGGAAGUGAGUUCCAAGUAUCUUGGUAUACUAGGGGAAGACAGGAGUACUCGGGAAGAGCGGGCUCGGGAUUUUGGACAUAAAACCAGUUGGCAUGCCAUCCUUUGUUUGAGGUCUUGAAGGGCAUAGAAAAAUACUUUUGGCUCAAGGUCCCUCUCAGUUGAAAUCCAGCCCCUCCAACUACGCAUGGUUUGCUUUUGUUCGGUUGGGGCUUGAGGAAGAAUAUUCGGCGGAACAGAGCAAAAUGAGGCCUAAUGCCCAAAAAAGCUUCACAGACAUGGACGGAAUUUGCAAUAUGGACUAUGGAGUUUGGAUUCAAAUGAUGUAAAUUGAUACCAUAGAAGUUCAAUAUCCCACGGAAAAACUUCGAGGUUGGAAGGGCAAAUCCGCCAUAGAAGAAGUGAGAAAAAACCACAACCUCAUGUGUAUCGGGGGUUGGGAAAGCUUCACCAAAUGCUGGCCACCAUCCGAUGAUCUCCUUUGCUGGGAGAACGCCGUGCGCCACCAUCUCCUUCAAGUUCUCCUCCGUCACGUCGGACGACGCCCAUUGGCUUUCAAAGCUUUCUUUUUCUUCCGCCAUCGAUUUGAUCCGAAUGAGUUGAUUUGAUUCGAGGGAUGGCUGGGGAGAGAUGUGGAAUUGAAGCAAUGAGUUGCGUGGAGGAUUUUGGUGAACUUUUGGAGGUGGAUUGGAGCGGAAUGGUGAACCCUAGUUUCGCCGGCGCAGCUUUGUACUAUAGCAAGGAAUGGGGGAAAUGGCGAGAGUUCCGGCGGGGAAGACGAAGCGCCGCUUAGACUUCGGGAUUUUUUGUUAAGGGUUUCGGGGGUGCUAAUGGGCCUAGGCCUGAACAGUACUUCAGCCCAAUAUUAUUAACAGCGUGGCCCGUUGUGCUCCUUAGGGACUUAGGCAUUUUUGCUUUGGCAAUUUAUGCUCGCAAUGGUGUGGCCCAAUGCUGAUAAAAUCCUUUUUAAUGCGGUUAUAUAAUUCUUUGGAAUUAUUGCAAUGCAAAUUGAAAGGUACCCGACAGAAAAGUGUUAUACUAUUUUUGUAAGCUUUUUUAGGCUGCAAAAGCUGUCUGGGUUGAUUUAAGAUGACUUGUUUUUACAAUGGUCAUUCUCUUGGCGUGUUAUAUGCCUAUUUUAAUUAUGGUGAGAGUCAUAGCCUAGGCUAUUAGACUUAUUAAUUACCAUAAUUUUUAUAACAUUUGAUGGAUUAUCUUUAGAGUUUUUUACUCGGAUGUUUGUUAAAUGUGUUCAUUUGUGAACCUUUUAGAGUGUUAUUCACUCGGAUUUUUUUACUAUGGCUGGAAAGCAGUCGGCUGAAUGUCUUGUUGGACGCCGCAUAUGCUUUUGUCAUAUGAUGCAUGAUUAUGCAAUUAUUUUAUUCUUGACUACAUGUUUAGUUUGUUAACUAAUCAUAUAGUCGGGGGCUACUGUGGAGAUUAUGGAUACCCCAUAUCUACACGGCGGUUAUAUUUAGACUGAAUAUAGGAUACCGAAUAUAGAUAGAAUAUCUUUAUUUGUAUCUCGGGUUUGUUUCUUAACUUGUACGUCAAGGAAAUAUCCUGAGAUUUAGUCGGUUACGAUUGUAUUUUAUUUGUAUUCUCGUAUUCUGAUAAGGAUAUGAGUUAUACCUUGUAAUACGGACUCCUUCCCCUAUAUAAGGAGGGGUCCGAGUCCUUCCUGGGACACCAAUUCUCUUUGAGAUCAUACAUUCAAUAAUACACUCGGCGGUUUCCACCCCGGACAGGAGUAGGGUAUUACUUCUUGAAUAAGAAGGCCUGAACCUAUAUAAAUCGUUUGUCUCCAAACCCAUCCACUUUUCAAGCUUGAUAGCCACCCCUUUUUAGUAUUGCCGAAAUCUUGUUUCGACAGUAACAAACUCUUGGUCUAUCUGCAAUUAAUUGAGCAAAUUCCACUGUCAUGGCCAAUGAAUUUGGGCUAUUUUGAAGAGACAAUGCAAUUAAAUUCCCUCUCUGCUGCUGUCAGACAUAAGAAACUCUCCAACUGGGUAAGGUCAACCUGCUGCUGCUAUUUUGUUUAGUUAUUUUUUCCAUCGACAUUCCAGUUGAGAACACUGCAUCUCUGCGCUCAUCUCCAUGUUCUCCUCAACUAAUCAGAUGUUGCAUGAUCACCAUAUUGCAUGUAUAUGCAUGCAUGAUCAGUUGUUCACAAAUUAUAAUUAACCACUACAUGCUAAAAAAUUCCCAAAUUAUCAGUAUAUAUACAUGCACCCAUCAACGUUGGAGUUCAUCCAUCCCUCCAUCGAUUGAUCUCUCACACUCGGAUCUUCUUCUUGAUUGGUUGCACACAUCAUCAUCAUCAUCAUCAUCGGAGAUGGUGAAGCUUGUGUGCUUUGUUGUGGUGGUGUUCAUGGCGGCGGCGGCGGCGAUGGCCGGAGCCGAUCGCGAGCUGAAGGUUGGGUACUACGAGAAGACGUGCAAGGACGUGGAGAAGAUCGUGAACUCCAUCGUCGUCAACUCCAUCAAGGACAACCGCGGCAAGGGCGCUGGCCUCGUCCGCCUCCUCUUCCACGACUGCUUCGUCAGGGUAAGGAUCGAUCGAACUAGUCAUUUGACCGAACGCCAUGCGUGCAUGCAAUGCAAUGCACGUAGAGCUCGCUCGCUCGCUCGCUAGGCAGCAAUGGCGGGUUUGAUGAUUAAUGGAGUUGCUUGCUUCGUCGCGUGCAGGGGUGUGACGCCUCCGUGCUUCUGGAGAAGAGCGAGAUGAACAGGCAGCCGGAGAAGGAAUCUCCGGCGAACAUCGGGAUCCGGGGGAUGGACGUGAUCGACGCGAUCAAGGCGGUGCUGGAGGCGCGGUGCCCCAACACGGUGUCGUGCGCCGACAUCAUCGCGUACGCGGCGCGCGACGCGUCCAGGUACCUCAGCCACGGCGGCGUCGACUUCCCCGUCCCUGCCGGCCGCCUCGACGGCGUGGUCUCCCGCAGCCGCGACGCCGACGCGUUCCUCCCGGACGCCGCCGCAAACCUCACCGACCUCGUCCGCAACUUCCGCCGCAAGAACUUCACCGUGGAGGAGCUCGUCAUCCUCUCCGGCGCGCACUCCAUCGGCGUCACCCACUGCACCUCCUUCGCCGGCCGCCUCACCGCCCCGGACGCCCAGAUCAACCCGGGCUACCGCAGCCUCCUCGUCUCCAAGUGCGGCGGCGUGUCGCCGACGCCGGCCAACAACCACGUCGUGGUGAACAACGUGCGCGACGAGGACGGCGCCGCCGUGGCGAGGGUCAUGCCGGGGUUUGCGGCGAGGGUGAGGAAGGCGAGGGACUACCUGGACAACAGCUACUACCACAACAACCUCGCCAUGGCGGUGACGUUCCACGCGGACUGGGCGCUGCUCACCGGGAAGGAGGCGCGCGGGCACGUCGUGGAGUACGCCAAGAACGCGACGCUGUGGAACGUGGACUUCGGCGACGCGCUGGUGAAGCUGAGCAAGCUGCCCAUGCCGGCGGGGAGCAAGGGGGAGAUCAGGGCCAAGUGCAGCGCCGUCAACGGCUACCACCAUUGACGUCGACGACGAUCCUUCCAUCGAUCGAUCGAUCGAACGAUCUCAUGGAUAUAUGAUGCAGUAGCUUUGAAUUAAUGUUUGACUAUGAUAUGAUCUCUGUAACUCUAUUGUAUUUUUUGUUCCUUCGCCCGCGUGAGUACUAGUUCAAAUUCAAUUCGUUGUACUGCAAACUUUUCAAAAUAAUUAUGAUGCAAAGUAGUUCAAUUGUAAAUUUCUAAUAUUGCUCUUUAUACAAGCACGCGCUCUGUCUCUUUCUACGCUUAGGACGUAAUUCCGGACGCACGCCCAUAUUAUUUCGGCCGGAAUUUUUUUUAAAGAAAACAUUUUUUUGUGAAUUUGGAAAUAUUUGUUCAAAUUUUGUUCAAAAAUUAAAAUAGUUUCUGGUGGUGAUGCCGGCGGAGAGCAAGGGGGAGAUCAGGACCAAGUGCAACGCCGUCAACAGCUACCACCAUUGACGACGAUGACAUAAGAUGAUCGAUGCAGUAGCUCUCUCUCUCUCUCUAAAUGUUUGACUCUGAUAUGAUCCCUAUAACUCUAUUGUACUUUAUUCUUUUCCACUGCUACUACUUCCUCCGUCCUUCUUUUCCACUGCUAAUACUUCCUCCGUCCUAAAAUGUAGCUAUCUAGUAUAUGAUGUGACAUUACUUAGUGCUAUGAAUCUGGACAGGAGGAAUCUGGACAGCCUCCUGUUCAGAUUCUUAGUAAUAGGUAAUGUCACAUCCUGUACUAGGUAGCUACAUUUUGGAACGAAGGAAGUAGUUUAAAUUCAAUUCGUUGUACUGCCACACAUUCAAAAAAAAAUUGGGAUGCAAGUAAUUCGAUUCUAAAUUUAUAAUGUUAUUACUUUUUAUACUAGUACGCGGGUGCGCUCUCGCCAAAAGCUAUACUACCACUGGUCACAUAAAUAUACUCCUUCAGUUUCAUAUUAUAAGACACUUUUGUUUUUUUUCUAAGUUGAGCGUUUUUAAGUUUGACUAUGUUUAUAGAAAAACGUAGCAAUAUUUACAAUACAAAAUUAGUUUUGUUAAAUCUAACGUCGAAUAUAUUUUGAUACUAUAUAUGUUUUGGAUUGAAAAUGUUGCUGCUUUUUUUUUAAACUUGGUCAAAGUCAAAACAAAAAAAUUAACUUUAAAAAAAAAAGACAAAACGUCUUGUUAUAUGAAACGGAGUGAGUAUUAUUUUGGAGUUUAGACACGCAUCUUUCAAGUCAAACAUUAAAAAAAGUUAAAAUAUUAAUAGUUCUUUAAAGAUUUAGAUCGGAUGCAUGAAAAUCUAGGCAUAGAUUUGCCCAAGCGGCAAAAUUCACAAAAUCAAAGCUUUUGAAAUCUGUAAUGGAUGAAAAUUGGCUCUAAAGUUGGGCUUAAAUUAAUUGUCCAAUUUAGACCUACUUUUUAAGCCCAAAUUGAAUAAUAGUUCAAUUUCGUUCCUCUCCCCGUAUGGGCUUAUAGGUCUAGACGAAUAUGUAUAUGGGCCUUGAUUAGGUGCAGGUAACUUUUGGCCUACAUCCGACCACCAGCUGUUUUGCCUGGUUACGGCCCAAAUGAGGAAUAAGUCCACUGAAAUCCCUCAUCUUCACGCGAGUUUAGCUUAAUUGAUUACCAGAAAUCUUCACCCCUCUUCUCGGCAAAACAGUCUAAAUCAGGUCCUAUAGUAGGGUGGAGGUAUGUUUGUUUUAGCUGACGUGGUAUCCUAGUCAGAAAAAAAAAAAAUAGUGUAGGCCCCACAUGUCAUUGGCCACCUCUCCUUCCUCCACUACUUUCCUCGUCACCUCCAAGCCAGCGAGUUGCCACCAGCUAGCCACCAUCCGCGCCGUCGCCGCCCGCCAUCGACGUGACGCGGCAUAGAGAUGGCGGAAAGCACCGGCCUAUUUCCGACCGGACACCACCGGCGUCGGCUGGACGGACCACGGACAUCACCAUCUUCAACGCCGUGGCGGAGCGCUUGCCGUCGCCGCACCCCAUCGUCAUCUACUUCCACGGCGGCGGUUUCACACUGUUCUGCGCAGCUUCCCGCACCUACGACGCGCUCAACCGUCGUCCUGUCCGUCAACCACCUUCUCGCCCCCCGAGCAUCGGUUCCGCCACCAUGUAUGAUGUUUGGGCCAAGGUGCGGCCGGGGCGUCUACUCCAACGCGGGCUUCCUCGGCGGCGUCGGCUGGUGAUGGCAACGGGAUGCCCGAUCUUCCGUCAAGUGAAGGUAACUAUCGAUUUGGUGGAAACUUGACACACAUGAUUCGGCUUCGAAUCCGAACCCUACAAUCAUAGUAGAUAUUACUCCUUUGGAUAAUGCUGCUCCUCACCUUUGGCGUUUGUUGUGGCGCGCGUGUGCCAGCUCAACCCCAACGCCUCGGCCAGCAUGAUACUCCCGCGCUUCUUCCGCCCGCGUCUUUGCGCGGUGAAAGUGGCCUGACCCGGCGAUGAUGCGUGCGUGCCAUGCAUCGAGCACGACGACGGCGAGCUCGGCGUCAGCCUAUAAAAAUGCCUUCGUUUUCACAGACGAAUGGCUUAAUGUAGCCACCUACCGAAAUGUACUUACCCUCACGAGCAUGCAACAAAUGGGUGGAUGGCCACCUGAUUAAAAGUAUUUCCUGCUUGUAACGGAGAUGGAUUCUAAUUACUUGGGUGGAUGUCCACCCAUCUUUUGGCUCGCAAGUGUAGUAAAAUUAUUGUUUUUUGCUUGGACAAUAAACGUCAAGCUCAGCUAGCAGCAUUCAUAUAUAAAUCACGCAUGCAUAUAUGUCCAUAUAAUUAACAACCUUUUCAUUCAUGCAUGGACAUAUAUAUGUCAUCCUUGUUAAUUUAAUUUGUCUGUUAUCAGUUAGGUCGACACAAUAUUCGCUAACUCGAGAAUUUUUCAGUUGGGUAUGCACAAAUGCAGCACAACGUGCAGUAUGAGCAAAUAGUAGAUACACUGUCUGUUACACCGAAAAGACAUAUAAAAAUGGUAUGGAGUAUAUCUGCCAGUAAUUAAGUACCUAUCAAGUUGACAUUCUUGUGGACAAACAGACACCUUAAUUAGUGCAGAGAAUGUCGACAAGCCGUGUUUCCUUCAAUGAAAGACUUGCAUUAAGUCCAUUUAAUCAUGCAUGUAUAUAUGUAGUAACAUUUGCAUAGACUAGAAUAUCCAUUUUAUUUCCAUCCAAGACUUUAUUUGAUGUUCUGCUGGGACAUAGAAAUUAAAAUAAGAGUAAAUUUCACAAAACUAUAGAUAAUUUGGAUCAAAUUAUCAUAAAACUACAGGUUUAAGAAUGUGUAUCACAAAACUACAGAUUUAGCGUCAAACUUUUCACGGAACUACAGAUUUAAUGCACCAUAUCACAAAACUACAGAUUUAGUGAUGAAGUUAUCAAAGAAUUACAUAUUUUAGAGUUUAGAUCAUAGCACUAUUAUUUAUUUAAAGUUAUAAAAUCUGUAGUUUUGUGAUAAAAUAGUUUUUAAAUAUGUAGUUUGUGAUAAAAUAGUUGUUAAAUCAAUAGUUUUGUGAUAUAAUACCUUAAAUCUGUAGUUCCGUGAUAAAUUUGACUCUAAAUCUGUAGUUUUGUGAAAUACAUUCUUAAAUCUGUAGUUUUGUAAUAGUUUGAUCAAAGUAUCUGUAGUUUUGUUAAAUUUACUCUUAAAAUAAAUUGUCUUGUGUUUUUUUUAAUACAGGAUUCAAUUCGUUUCCCUACUAAUUCAACUUGUGAACUGAUCAUCAUGAGUCCAAAAUUAAAUUGAGGAGCUAGGGACAUUUCCAGGCCUACAAAAUAAAAUUAACCAUGCUUUUUUAGAUAAUUGGGGGUCGGGUUAAUUAGUACUAUGUUCUAUUCAUUCUGUUAAUCUUAACUGCCGGUAGCUAGCUAAAAGUUCUCAAAGUCAUCAACUUAAUUAGCUAGGAUAUUGGUGUCCAAAGCUAGCCAGAUUUGAUAACAUUUUCUGUUGCAGUUGUAACUAGUGUUCAUACCUCCAUAGAGUCAAAUGCUAACUAACCAACAUUGCAUAUAUCCGGCCAGAUAACUCUUGUCUAAUCCCAUAGGAACAAGAUAAUUAUCAAGUACCCUCUUGUGUGUGGCAAUGUCAACCCAGCUAUAUACCUAGCUAGCUUAAUUAAUUAAUUAGCUCAUUCAGCUAUACCAAUAAUUUGUUGCAGCUAGCUUAAUUAAUUACCUCCUAAUCAUUGAUCCAUCCAUCAUCACCCAUGCAUGGUUAACACUGCAUUCCAGUCGAUGUCAUGCUAUAAAUACCUGCAGAGAUGAGCAGGACAUGCACACACACCACAGUCGCAAUCAGACAUUCUCUCUUGUUGGUUAACUAAAUAGCUUAAUUAAUUUGAGGAGUUUAGUCUCUGAAACAUGGCGAUGGCGACAGCAGCAUGCAGAAGGCCUGCAGUGAUGCUCAUGGCGUUCGCCAUGGCGGCUGCGGUGACGAUGAGCUCCGUGCCGCCGGCGUCGGGGACGACGACGCUGCAGUACGACUUCUACUCGUCGUCGUGCCCGAAAGCCGAGGAGACGGUGAGGAACGUCGUCGAGCCGAUGAUCUUCAACGACCCCACCAUGGGCGCCGCCUUCAUCCGCCUCUUCUUCCACGACUGCUUCGUCAGGGUACGUACAAAACUAUCAUUUAUAAAACAUAUAAGUUUCGUAGUAAAUUCAUCAACGUGUCAUAUUUGGAUUGGUUUAAUUCAAUUUAAUAAUAACAAUUUACAUUCAUGUUUACCCAACACUAUUUCUUUAACUAUGUUUUAACAAUAAAAUUCAUUCCAGUCUUUAUUUUAAAGAAAGUACAUCCAAUUAUUACACAUAUAUUACAAAUCAAAUGACUCGAAUUAUAAAAUCAUAGCUCGAUUAAAAUCAAGAAAACCACUUAAACUACCUGUUUGAAGACAAAGGUUAACUAUCUAAUUAAAAAAGUAAUUAAUGAAAUUGUAUUUGCAAUAAUAGGGUUGUGACGCGUCCAUCCUGCUGGACCCGACGAGCAGAAACACGCAGCCGGAGAAGACGGCGAUCCCGCUGCGCGGCUACGACGCCGUGAACAAGAUCAAGGCCGCCGUCGAGGCCGUCUGCCCCGGCAAGGUCUCCUGCGCCGACAUCCUCGCCUUCGCCGCGCGCGACUCCGCCGUCGUCAACGGCAACUUCGCCUUCGCCAUGCCCUCCGGCCGCCGCGACGGCACCGCCUCCUCCGCCUCCGACGUCGCCCGGUUCAUCCCGUCCCCGGCGUUCCACCUCCAGGACCUCGUCGACAGCUUCGCCGCCAAGGGCCUCACCGCCGACGACCUCGUCAUCCUCUCCGGCGCCCACUCCUUCGGCCUCACCCACUGCGCCUUCGUCACCGGCAGGCUCUACCCCACCGUCGACCCCACCAUGAACGCCACGUUCGCCGCGGCGCUCAAGAAGCUGUGCCCGCCGCCGGCGAGCGGCGGCGGCGGGAGGGCGGUGAGCAACAACCAGGUGACCGACCCCAACGUGCUGAGCAACCAGUACUUCAAGAACGUGGCCGCCGGGGAGGUGAUGUUCACGUCGGACCAGACGCUGACGAGCCGCGACGACACCAAGGCGAUGGUCGACGACAACGCCGCCAACCCGGUGGCGUGGAUGGCGAGGUUCGCGGCGGCGAUGGUGAAGAUGGGCGGCGUCGAGGUGCUCACCGGGAACGCCGGCGAGGUCAGGAAGGUCUGCUUCGCCACCAACACGGCGAGCUGAUAAUUAAGCUACAAGUUCUCUUUCUCCAGCGAUCGGCUGGAUCAUUACCACAUAAUAUAUAUAUUCCUUGUUAUUUUGAUCUCUUAAUUUGUACUCCGUAGUUACCUGCAUCGAUUCUUGCUGUUGUAAAACUGAAUUGUAAUUCACUAUCUUUGAAUAUUCAGUGAUCAGUUACAGUGGUUAGUACUUUUCUCGUUCUAUUGCCCGAAUUUAAACUGAAGCAGGUUGCAGUUAUGGGCCAAAUCCUGUAUCUAUGACAUGUAAGUUCAUGCGGCAAAUUGGUAAACACCAUAUCUAAAAGUGGAAGAUAGUUGAAUAUCUUCAAAUUUGAGAGAUUAUGUGCCAAAAAAGUUCAGAAAAAUUUAGAUCAUGGAACAGAUUUGAAAGAAUGAAAGAUUGCUGGCCAAAUGGUUUCAUCAAAUAUGCUGGGCCAGGAAGGUAUUGGGCUCGAGUCCGUUGGGCUUUGAUGGGCCGUUCUAUUGAUCCUGGAAAGGCCCAAUUGUAGGAAAGGCCCAACAGUCUUGGAACUCUUGAAGCCUUGCACCAAGUUGGUCACCAGCCUUAUCAGUGAUCAGAUUCAAUCAAAACAUUUUACUUUCUGGUUUCUGCAGAACUGAGUUUCAGUCAUUUUCCUAGUUUGCUUCACUCCAUAUUGUGCAUGUAAAUUAUAAUUCCUUUGGCUGUGUUCCGAACAACAAAGAUUGAAGAUGUUGACCAUUUCUGUUAUCAAAUAAAAAUGUAAAUUUAAUUUGUUCGAUGAUUCCUUUGUGCACAAAUUCAGCGAGUUCAGAUGGGCCUGAAUUUAUACCGAAACAGGCAGCCGUUGUGGGCCAAUUUGAAGAGAUUAUGGCCCAAAUGUUUAAGAUGAAUUCAUAUGCGGGCCAAAUUCGAAAUACUGUGGGCUGGAUGGUUUUAUAACGUUCGGGCCUGAAACCAAAUACGGAGUACAGGUUGGUCAUGGGCUCAUGGCCCAAAAAAGUAUUGGCCUCGAGCUUAUUGGGCUUGAACCUUUCGCACCGGGAUUUUAUCCCUUUCCCCGGGACUCACUUCGGUUGGUCCUGGUUAGGUAAAAGGGUACACACUUGUGCGCGUUCAGUGGGACUGCACGUUUCCCGUACACUGUGGCCUAGUGUCUUCAAUCUCAAUCCUAGAGUGUGACCGUGUGUUAGGAACGCGCACGCGUGUGUGUGCGUGUGUUGUGGUGUGAGUGUGGUGUGUGUGAGUGUGCGUCCUGAGUAUGUACCCUUCUCAAAAAAAAAAAAAGGGACAGCUAACACAGCCAGAUCAGAUCAGACUAGUUUCUGACCUCUGGAUAUGAAGUAUGGAGAACACUACAAAAUAUUUUUCUUCACCAGCAUAUCAAACCUUAAUAAUUAUGCAUUAUAUGUAUGGGAUUAUAGAUUGGUACACAAACCACAUCGUGAAAAUAUGUUGGAAGAACAUAUGCAUAGAGCAAAUAUAUUAUUUAAUGAAACUAAAACAUAGGGCAACCGACUCAAAUUCAUCUUAACAAGCACCUACAAGUCAAAUGUAUUGUUGCACCAAUGGUUAUCGUGGCAAAUUGAUUGAUGAAGAAAAUUGUUGCUCCAAGCUGUAACUUCCAGAGACAGAGUCGCAAGUUAAACCAGUAGAAUGGCUGAACCUGCCAUCUGAAGAGUUACUAGUAUUUGGGAAUGGGAAAUGCUCAAUUUCUCCUUCUGUUACUGGAAAUUGUUGGCACUUUCUUUGUCUUAUAGUUCUAACAAACUGCAACCUCAUUUCUACUUCUUUCAUGGUAGGUCUCUCUUCUCCUUUUGUUUUCAAGCAUGAUUCUGCAAUUGAGACAAUUUCAUCAAUUUCUUCCCGGUUUGCCUCUUCCAUAACUUGCGAAUCCAAGAUCUCCAUGACUACUCCUUGUUGAUGCCCUUCCACAAAGUAAUGAGCCAAGCUUUGUUUUGUACCUUGGUCAUUUAUAAAAAUCGACUUCUUUCUUACUAGAAGCUCGACAAGUAUAACUCCAAAACUAUAGACAUCACUCUUCGCUGUUAGUUGGCCAGUGUAGUAGUACUCUGGAUCUAAGUAACCAAAUGUGCCUUGUACAUUUGUCAUAACAUGAGUUUGAUCAAGUGACAUGGUUCUUGAAGCUCCAAAGUCAGAAACCUUUGUAGUAAAGUUGUCGUCCAACAAUAUAUUAGAAGAUUUGACAUCUCUAUGGUAAAUUGGAAUUGCUGCAGCUGAGUGUAGGUAAGCAAGAGCUCCUGCGGCUUCUACUGCAAUCCUAAUACGGUCAUCCCAUGAUAGCAAGCAUUUAACACUUACAUCACUGUGAAGAAUAUCAUAUAGUGUCCCAUUGGAUAUGAACUCAUACACCAAUAAAGGCACCUCUGCUUCAAGACAACACCCAAAAAGCUUUACCACAUUGCGAUGAAUGAUUUGCGAUAAUAUAGCAACUUCAUUGAUAAAUUGAUCUAUCUCUGUUUGCUCCGCUAUUUUGGACAUUUUAAUGGCUACUAUGCAUUGAUUGGACAAAAUCCCUUUGUAAACUGUGCCAUGCCCUCCAGAGCCAAGUACACGAGUAGCAUCAAAGUAGUUCGUUGCCUUCUCUAGUUCCUCCAAGGAGAAUAUCUUUGUUUUAUCUUGUGCUUUUUCAUCUAAUAUCAAUUGUUCCAAGAGUAGGCCUUGGUUUUUCUUGAAGUGUGCCCUUCGAAUUCUCUUUUGUACACCUCUCUUCCACUUGUUGAUUAGUACUAUUGCACCGAGUGCAAGAAUGAUUGAGCCAAGGCCACACCCAAUUCCAAUUGUUAUACCUGUUCAUCCAAUAACACUUGUAUUCAUGAAGACGUCAUGCAUUUUAUGAAUUAUACUUGAAUAUAUUUUGUUUGAAGUGACCUACCUACAAUAAGAUUGUGUCUCUUAGCUGAUGCCGUACAUUUUCCUUUUGUUAAACACUCAAUAUCUGUAAAUAGUAGGGAAGCAAAAAAACAAAGUGGAACCUAUUAAUUUUAGAGACAAAUAUCGGGGUUCAAGUACAUAUGACAAAACUUAGCCAAAGGUAAAACAUCGUGAUAAAGAAUUACUACAUGGUCCUUUCUUAAGUGGAUGAAAUUAUAUAUUUAUCCAUACUUAGUAAUACCUUUACCCAUAAAAAUAGGUAUGUUGUAUCCCCAGUGUUAGUAAGUGCGAGUAUACGCAGUAUGGCAUGUCUAUAAUAUUAGAACUGUAUAAUCUAUAUUCUUUUAAAAGAAAGUAGUGUUGCCACCACCCCCACCACAAACUUGCUACUUUUGUGGAAAAGGAAAAAAAAACUGUAGGACCAGAGGAUCACAUGUUCAACCACCCCCACCACCAACUCCCUUCUUUUUUGGAAGGAAAAAACAAACAUUGGAGCUGGAGAAUCCAUACAUCAGUAACAAUUAUGUGCAGUAUGCUGGUUAUUGAAAUGAAUAAAGCAAUCCAUCUUCACCCUUUACUAUAUUCUCCUGCAUGCUCCUAUAUUAAUACCAGUAGGUAACAAAAGUAGAUUUCAACAUUAAUUUGAAAGUCUAGAAGUUCUACAAGUUAAAAUUGACAUUAAUCAUUUGAAAAUCUAGAACAUUAAAAAAUGUGCAUAUGAAAACUCUAUCUUUAAAGAUGGCAUGUGAACUCUUGCCAGAUCCAAGAGGAGAUAAGCACGACACUGUUUGGAGCAUUGUGAGAUUAGCUCACGUUGGGUUGAUAUCUGGUCCGAUUUUGAAAUAUAUGUGUAAAAAAAUGAAUGAUUUGUUAGUAUAGAGUGAAAACUGGACUUGGGGAAAACCAACAUCCUAAAAUAGACUUCUCCCUUCAGAAUUUCUUGCCCCCAUAUUGCAAGCAUAAUAUCUGUAAACUUUGAAUUUGCAACUACAAAUAUGUAUUAUUUCUAAUGCUUAAAAAUGUUUUCUACAAUGGUAGUAGCUCAUCAUGUGGAUGCAUGGGUUCAUCAUUAGUAAAACAAAUUGGAUGUGUUAUGUAUCUAGGUUUUCUUGAUCAAUAUGAGAAUUAUAAAAAUUUCUUAUUAAUAAUGAGAUUCUUCUAGCCUUUCUGAACCAUCUAGAAUAAAGUUGCUGGCCUUACUUUUCUCUCUCCUCCAUGGGUUUCUAAAUUAGUAUAUAGAAAGAUUACCAAUGUGUGCCUUACUGUUUCUAUUACUAUGUAGUAUAUAUGUUAUCUAGGGUAUCUCACUUAGUUGAUUCUUAUAAAUUUACUACUUUGAAAACGAAGUUGUCCUUUUUCCUUUUCCACCAUCAUAGUUCCCCACUUAAAAAUCCGCACACUAAAAAUAGCCACCCACCUAAAACCAGUUUCUACACGAAAAAUCAACCAAAAAAGGGGAAAAACUAAACCUCAUAAUUCCAAUCCUGUUACAAUGCACAUGCAUGGCACUAGGCAAUACAAAAUAGGAACAUCUAUACUCCUUUAAAAUGGACCUUUAGAAUGGAGUAGUGGUGAAUCUACCACCACCCCCAUCACCAACUUACUUUUAUUUUGAAAGGGAAAAUUACACUAUUAGGACAAAGGGCCCACAUGUCAACCACCACCUGCAACUUUGUACUUUUCGUUUUGAAAGGAAAAAGGAUAGUGUGCGAUCAAAGGACAGAAAUUAAGAAAUAAUAUUUGUGAAAAAAUAUGGUAAUAUCGGGUCAAUGAUAAUUUUAUCUAAUUAGAAUCCUAUUGCAGCGCACGGGUAAUAUGCAUACAUAGAAAAAGAAUAUAUAUAAGUCGUACCAGGGUCGUCACUGCAGCCAAGGUUAACGUAAGGAUUGCCAUCGGUGACAUCAUUGCGGCAGGAACAGUAAUAUCCUCCAUUUGUAGCAUUGAAGCAAUUGGUGUUAGUGGUGCAAGCAUAGGUUGCUUUGCUCGCUGAUGCACCUGGACAAGUCUCCUGGUCCAUGAUGGCACCACGGAGAAGAGUACCACCAAUGGAGCUCGUGUUCAUCCAGCUGGACGAAACAAGAUCAUUCGUAUUGAAUUGAUAGCUGUUAAUUGUUGGCAGGAUGAAAACCUGAGCACGAGACAACACCCGAUAUGAUCGCGGUGUUGUUCUAUCAUCCGGAUGAUCAAGCUUUAACCAAAACCGACGCAGCUCCCUUCUCACGAUGAUAUGGCAGCAACCGAUGCCGGUACAAUCCCCAUCGUGCAUCUCCAUGAUCCCCAAAUUGUCAGAACACAUGGUGAUGCAAGAACCCAUGGUCUCGUUCGUGUCAAGAUCGAACAGGCACGCCUCGAUCCCACAUCCGAUAACGAACAGGGUGCUCUCGUUCACGAUGGUGAAACCAUUGGCAGGAGAAACCCAGUAUCGGAUGUAGUCGAUGAUGCUGCUGUUGUUCAUCGCGAUGUUGAAGGCAAUGGCUGGGAUUUCUAUCACCUCUAGUGUCCGGCCUGAUUGGCCGAUGACCUUAGUUGUAGUGUUUGCCAGGAGCAGUGUGGGAGGAUGAGUGGUGUUGUCGCAGAUGAGCUCGAAACCUUGCCGGAAGCAGCCAUGGCCGAUCCCAAAUGGGUAGGAGAAGCCAAUGUCGCCGCAGGUAGAAGGGCAGUGAGCCAGAGAGUUUUUGGAAGGGAUUGUAUGCAAGAGCCCAUUACCUCCGGCGACUCCAGGGGUUGCUGCUGCUGCUACUGCCGCUGCCAAGCACAUCAUCAACAAGAAAACAAGUGUGAUAUUGGAGGUCAUCACUGCUAAACUAAGCAUAUGCCAAUGUUUUGUGAAUUUGUGAUGUUUGGUAGUUGGACGGCAUCGUGUAACAUAUACAUUUGUAUAGGGACCAGGAAGACUCAACUCGAUCCAUUUUUGUUUUCCGAUUGAGCCCUAUUUCAGAAGUACUUUGUUUGUUUAAGCCCAUAAAUUAUUUGAUUUGAAAAAUUGGGUCGUCCUGGUCCGUCCUAUGAUGGCAAUACGACGCUAGGCAUGAGUAGCACGUACUGAGUAUAUGUAUUGAACGCGUCAUUAUAUAUUUCGUAGCGUCGCAUGUGCAUUGUGUUGCGCAGUUGCGUUUAUUUCAUAGCGUCGCAUGUGCAGAUAUCCUCUGUAUCUCACUAUCUCUCCAACUACGUUGCUGCACAUAUGCAAGUAUGCACAUAUGACUUAAUUAAUUUCAUGUUUAAUUAUUACAUGCUUAUAAAUUACUAAACCACUAUGCAUCAGUGAGUAUAGCUAGCUCAACUGGUUAGAUUCCACGUGGUAGAACCUAUCCAUCCGGAUUCAUGUACUAGACUUAGUACCGGCGCUCGUAUUUACAACUUGAUGGUUGCUAAUUAUUCUUUCAGUAGUUUUAACUAGCAUUAGUUUGGUACAACUUUUUUAAGAGCUGUGUGGUAGCUUUACUCUAUAUUCUCACACUAGCUUGGAAGUGUUAGGUACAGCUCCAACUUUACGAGACAAAAAUGUUGAAGUAGGAGCUAUACCAAACGAGCUUUUAAUGAAGUACUCAUACUAAUAAAUUAUAUUAAUGCUAUAGGAAAACGAUAGUUCUAGGAAUUUCUUUGUUCUCAGUGCCUGCUAUUUAGAGAAAUUAGCCACUUUAAUGAUCUUUGAUGGUUACAGAGGGGUAUCAGAAAACAAACUUGAUGGUUGCUAAUUUUAAACAAAGUUUUUUUCUUGUUGAUUCUUAUUUCUAGGUGCAGUGUUUUUAUCGCGUAUGAUAGCUAUAUGUAUGUAGUGUUUUUAUCUGGUAUGCUACCUAUAUGUACUCUUCUCUCUCUAUGCCUAGGCCAUAUGCUUUCCGAACUGCUAACCAUGUAUUUUUUUAAACAAAAGUCUAUAAGAAAGUUGUUUCGAAAAUCAUAUUGAUCCAUUUUUCAUGUUUUUAGCUAUAAAUCAAUCAGUUAUGUGCUAAUAAGUCGCUCUAUUUUAUGUGCGAGGGGAUUACUCCCGUUAUCUUCAAAAACCAAAUCUAGUAUUGGAUAUGAUACAUGUAGCUCAUACAAAACAAACCUAGUCGUAUCCUAUCUUACUGUAAAGUUAUAACCCACUAACCAUAAAUCUCAAUAUGCAAACAUGCCACCUCAUCAUCCACUAGCAAUAAUUACAUGCAAAACUUAUGCAAGCAUGCAACAUCAUCUAUAAUUCAUUGAAUUGUACAAAUCAACAUCCAAUCAUCUUCCUUCACAUUAAUUUUCACAAUAUUUUUAACAUGUAUAUAUCUAUCGUUUUAUAAUCCUUAACAUAUAUUCAUCCAUAUAAUCAAAGUGUAUGAUAUCAAAUUUCAUCUACAAUCUCAUAUAUAGUCUACUAAAUAUCUCUCUGAACAUAGUUGGACAAACCAAUGUUAUUUGUUGUUAAUAACGGAUAUAAUUUUUACUUUUAGCUUGAUUAUUAAAAAAUAUUAAAAGUUACUUAGAAAUUUCUACAGCAAAGCGUGGAGAAUCACCUAGUUUUUUUAUAAAACGGAGGGAAUACGGAAUACGUCACGAUUCUCGUCCUUAGAUCAGACUUUCGUCAGCCAUUCAUAACACACUUUGAUUGGUACAGUACUAUACAGUACGGAGUACUACUUAGGAAAUGAUUUUCAUAAGUCAUCUACCCUUAACUAGUACUCGUACUUACGUGGAUUGAAAUUCUGAAGUGACCUAGACACUGAUCAGUAAUUCAGUAUGCCAGCACAAAAUCUGGGCCUCAAAUUGAACAUAGACGGGCUGCCUUUGUGUUCCAAAUUUGGAAUAAGUCUAUUUGCCUCCCUCAACUCUCAACUCAUGACUCUAGCUGAAUCGCAUCCCUCAACAGCUAAACCGGGUAUAAUUAUAACCUAUCCCUUGAUUCCUAACACCGUUGCAAAUCAAUUCCCUGGACGGUUUUGGAGGCGGUUUUGUCCUACGUACGUGUGCUUACGUGUCAGAUUGACUUAGUCUUCAUUCCAUUCCAUGUGACAUCAAUGUAGUGCUUACGUGCCAUUAAAAUAAAAACAAACAUAAAUAGGACCUACAUAUCAGUGAGUAAAAAUAAAAAUAAAUAUCGGACCCACAGGUCAGUUAGCCUUUCUCCUCCCUCUUAUCUAGCUUCUCUCUCUCUCUCACUCUCAGGUGGAUAGCGCCGCCCGGCCAGUUCCGCCAUGGAUGGAGGUGGCGGCGGGGGGACGGAGCAUGGGGGUCCGCCAGCCGUCGACGUGGAGGGGUUUGCUCGCGCGGCCUUCGACUCGUCCUCCAUAGCCUUCUCCUCCCCGGCGCCCUCCCAUCUCCUCUACGCGCUCGAGCCAGCGACUCAGCGAGCUCCUACCCCGCACACGCCCACCCGACAAGGUCCUUCCCGCGAGCGCUCGGCGGACGGGAUCCUCCCCGCGCGCACCCGGCCGGCGAGCUCCUCCCCCGCGCACGACGGCCGGCGAGCUCCUCCCGCGCGCCCCGCCGGCAAGCUCCUCACCCUCCCCCCCCCCCCCCCCCCCCCCGGCGCCCGACCGGCGAGCUCCUCCUCGCGGACGGCCAGUGAACGAGGAGCUCCUUGCGCUCCUCCCCCGCAUGCAGCCGGCCGAGAAGCUCCUCCCAUGUAUGCCAAGCGCCAUCGCCACCACGCUGAUAAAGAUAUGAAAGGGGGAGAGGGCGCGAGAGAUGAGGGAGAAGAUGGGAUGAGGUGGAGGCCGCUGACAAAUAGGUCCCACUUGAUGACUCAACGAGUUAACUACCACAUAGGACGAAACCGCCUAGGGAGUCAAUUUGCAACAGUUUUAAGAGUUAGGGGAUGGGUUAUACCCGGUUUUACGGUUGAAGGAUGUGAUUCAACCAGGGGCACUACUUGAGGGAGGAAUAUAGACGUAUUCCUCCAAAUUUCAGAGAUGUUUAGCCCACAAUCUUUCCUACUAUGGGCUACCGAUCGUUCAUAUUAUGGGCCGAACAGAUUAGACAAUUUUUGGGCCCAUAGUAAGGAAGGUUAUGUGGGCUAAAGGAUUUUAUCGUGUUAAGGCCUCAAAUAAACGAAGUUUGUGAUGGGCCAAAAAGUAUUGUCUCGAGCCCGUUAGGCUUCAAUUUCGCCCAAUUCGCAGGACAGCGUCUUGAAGCCUUGCGGCAAUAUUGGUCAAUCGCUCACUGCAGAAUUGCAGAGCUAGCACAAUCUGAUCAGACUCAAUCCAAACAUUUUUUCACUUUCUGUCAAACUACUGGAUCCAUCUCGAUCGAUCGUGCCACAGCCAUGCAAUGGCAUGGUUUUUUUUUAUAUAUAAACAAUAAUAAUAAAUUGGACCAGAAGCUAACAUUGGAUCUGAAUUAAGUCACCAUGACAGUGAAGUUGAAAAACUGACGAAAUCGAUCCAAGAUCACUCUUCAAUUAAUUUAUGGUGACUGCAUAGCGUGCUAGAUACCUCUUCAUCUGUACACACGCCCUGCCAAAUUGACUGACCGCAUCCUCGUCGUCGUUUUCAUCAGAUGCUGCGUCUUCUUUCAUCAGCAAUUCAGAGAUGAUAUGUUCAUCCGGUAUCCGAAAUGUGCAAGAAAGUUCAGACAUGUUCAGUCCAGAUCCAUCCAUCCCAUCGCCGCCGACGACGACGACGAACACUGCUGCAGGUCAGCACCCGUGGCGCCUUGCAAAUUAACAAGAUCUCAAUUUACCAUAAGUCCAUAACUAACAUGCACGCUAGCUGCAGCAAGCUGCUGCUAAACUAAUCGUCGCCAAUUAAUUACUCACCUAAACCAUGCACUACACUUGAACAGACAGUGUCAGUGUGAUCAGCUUCAUCAGCUUAGCUCAAGAGAGGCAGGCCGGUCAACUUGUGACCCCAUGUUCUUGUCUCCUCAUGACACACUGGCCAUGUUCCCAGUUAGCAUCGAUCAACACUUGCAUGCAGCUGCUACCUAGCUUAGCUUAGCUUAAUCACCCAGUGCAGGUCGUCACUAGCUACGAAUCACUAUCAGAUUAUACUAAUCCCCACUUGGAUCGAUCAUGGCAGCUGAUACAUAUAAAUUGGAUGGCCACCCUCUUCUUCUUCCUAGUCACCUUCACUUGAUCAGUUAGACUCCUCGUCUAGCUGAGCUAUCUAGAAGAGAUAGUUUGUGUGUGUGUGUGUGCUCGAUGGCCGCCGGUAGCAGAGACGGCGGUGCUCGCCGCCGAUCGUGUAGUGUGCUCGUCGCUGCUGCGGCGAUCUUCUUUGGUUACGCGGCGACGGCGGCGGGGCUGCAGGUGGGCUACUACAACAACUCAUGCCCCGGAGCUGAGGACCUGAUUCAGACGAUCGUCCAUGGCGCCGUCCGCAACGACGCCGGCAAUGGCCCCGGCCUCAUCCGCCUCUUCUUCCACGACUGCUUCGUCAGGGUCAGUGAUACUGAUAUCGCAUUGCGGUUAAUUUGGUUGAAUUCACUUGGUCGAAUUUGGUUGAGCUGAUGAUCGAGAGGUGUUCGAUGCAAUGCGAAUGUGUACGUAGGGGUGCGACGCGUCGGUGCUGCUCGACGCCGACCCGGCGAGCAACGGCACGGUGGAGAAGAUGGCGCCGCCCAACUUCCCCAGCCUGCGCGGCUUCGGCGUCAUCGACCGCGCCAAGCGCGUCGUGGAGCGGCGCUGCCCGGGCGUGGUCUCCUGCGCCGACAUCGUCGCGUUCGCGGCGCGCGACGCGUCGCGCAUCAUGGGCGGGAUCAAGUUUGCCAUGCCCGCCGGCCGCCUCGACGGCCGCGUCUCGAGCGCGUCCGAGGCGCUCGCCAACCUGCCCCCCGGGUCGUUCAACCUCACCCAGCUCGUCGCCCGCUUCGCCACCAAGAACCUCACCGCCGACGACAUGGUCACCCUCUCCGGCGCCCACUCCAUCGGCCGCUCCCACUGCUCCUCCUUCUCCUCCCGCCUCUACCCGCAGAUCGACCCCGCCAUGAACGCCACGCUCGGCGUCCGCUCGCGCGCCAAGUGCGCCGCGGCGCCGGGGCGCCUCGACCGCGUCGUGCAGCUCGACUUCAAGACGCCGCUGCAGCUGGACAACCAGUACUACCAGAACGUGCUGACGCACGAGGUGGUGUUCACGUCGGACCAGUCGCUGAUCGACCGCCCCGACACGGCGGCGCUGGUGGCGCAGUACGCCGGCAGCCGGAAGCUGUGGUCGCAGAAGUUCGCCGCCGCCAUGGUCAAGAUGGGCAACCUCGACGUGCUCACCGGCCCACCCGGCGAGAUCCGGCAAUACUGCAACAAAGUGAACUAAUUAUAUUUAAAAAAAAUCGAUCGAUAUUCAAUCCAACCAUGCACGCACUUCGAUACUGCUUGAUUGAUUGAUUAUUGUACAUGACAUGAUCAGCAAAAUUUCAUCGAAAAAUUCAACAUCACCUUCGAUUUCAUGCUGCUUCACACAAUGAUCAUGUGUACUUGAUGACAUUGUUGUAAGUUGUAACAUAAGAGAGGGUAGAAUUAUCACAUCGGCAUUUGUUCAGUUCAGGUGUUGAUAGCUUUUCACUUUUCUUUUUCUUCGUCUUUUUGUUUCUUCUAAUUCUGAAGUUUCAAUUAUGCACUUUCAAGUUCAAAUAUUCAAUAUUCAGCUACAGCAAAGUGAGAACAGGGUCAUUAUUCAUGACCUUUGGUCUGAAUUUUCUUGCAUGAUAGUUCAUUGAUUUUCAGUUACUGUUACAGUGUGUAUUGCUGAAAUUUCUUGCUCAUAUAAUUCGAUCGAUCACUGAGAUGUUUGUUGGCUGUAGAAGAAGAGGAAGAUGAACUGGUCCAGCUGCUGCCCAAUGGAAGAGACACAUGGUAUCUUGAUGCACAUGUGGCAUGUUGUAACACAAACCAACGUGUUGCAUGUUUUGUUUCCUUCUCUCUCUCUCUCUCUCUACAUUUCGACAUUUCGUUCUCCUUUACACAUAUGGGAUCAACCAAAGGGCUAACAUGCGUGCAUGUGCAAAUAAUAUGGGCACCAGCUGCUCAACAUUUCUGCCUUAAAAUACAAGUGCAGUUCCAGUUCAGUCCAUAUACAUUCAGAGUCAGAGCAAGCAGGGACAGCAUUGGGCUACAGGUUGGAUGGAGAACAAAACCAUCUGUCUUAAACUCUCGCCCUCUCUCCCCACAGAUAUAAGCAUUCUAAACGUUUAAAAUUUAUCUAAAAGUAUAUAAGCAUUCUAAACAUUUAAAGUUUAUCUAAGAAAAAUAGAGUACUACUUAUCUCAUUGAUCACCUCUAAUUUAUUUUUUUUAUAUCUUAUCUCUACCAUCCUUUGGCUCCCACCUACCUAUCGCAUAACAGAGACAUUGAGAUUUUUUUUUCUCGUCAAUCUAAAUUUUGGUUAAAUAACCUUGAAAUCCUUGUUAAUAUAUUUUUACGUCUAAGUAAGAAAUUUUCCUGUAUUGAUUUUUUCUAAAAAUAAAUAGAAAUUGUUAGAUUUGUGAACGGGGAUGACUAAUUGCUAUGGAAACUUCUACUGAACAGUAACAAAAACUGCAGUCUGCAGUCUGCACUGAAAGUUAAUGGCAUAUGCAUCGGGAUCUGCAUGCAGCAAGGAAGAGAGACAAAAUUUUAGUGUCACUGGAUGCAAUUGACCAGCUCGAUUAGAUUAAUAAUCUACUACUCCACUACUCUACUAGUAGUGUACUUAGUCGCAUGUAGCCUCCAAUGGAAAAAAAAUUCAACUCUGAAGUCUGAAGCAAAGCAGGACGACCCGGCCGAUCGACCACAACUCUGCAGUAUAUUGGCGCCAACCUUUUCUACGCGAAUCUUUUCACCCCCCAACUUGAUCAAUGCUGGAUCAACUUAGAACAUGAGACCAUAUGGUAGUAAAUUCACAAGAGUGAUCAUCACUUGCUGUUUUAAAAUAUUGGUAGCUCGAUCAGCUCGAUGCAUGUGUUCUGAUUGGAACAAACUCUCUGACUUAUAUUAUUGUUCCUCUGAAACUCUGACUAGAUUAUUGUUCUUGUGAAAGGACAGCAUGCGAAGCUUCUCUGACAGUAGCUUUACUACGAGAUGGGCUAGAAGAAGAUGAUCAGAUAACAAAACAAAAGUUGCUGGCGAUGGUGGCUGGGGAAUCUCCUCCUGUUAACUUUCUGAAUCGUCAGAGCAGCAGUGUUGCCAUCUUUGGAUGCUUGUGUUGGUGUAGCCACUAAUCGCUGCAGGAGCGCAUGCGAUUGAGUGCCAAAUAAUGUAAUGACACUUUGGAUUCUUGUGGCCCGACAUAGCACGCUCAUCUCAUCAGCUCAAUCAUUCAUGAACAUGUAUGCAAGUUUAUGCAUUUUUGUGUAUCUGCAUAACUGUAUUUAUGUGUGUAUCUCUCUCUAGACUGUACUUGAGUGAUUCACUUUCUUCAGAAUAAUGUAGGAUGCUUUACACUGUGUAUGGCUGUUCUUUGUCUUGAUAAGAGAACUCAUCUGUGUGCUUUUCUUUUUUGUAUGUUUGCUAACAAGUAGUACCAACUAAUUAAUAAUUGUCAGUUUGUCACUGUGAAGAUUGGGAUAUGAUGAAUGACAGUGAGAAACUGGACUAGCAAAUCCUCGUGUGCCUCUGUUUGGCGCCAAACCAUCGAACUACCCGGGAUUCCUUUGUUUGAGCUGCCUUAAAACAUUAUGUAAAGAGCGAUAUGAAGGUAUUUCUACUGUAAAAUUUGAUGUCUCUCAGUAUCUUAGAUAUUAAGCUAAAAAAAAUUGGUCUUUUGGUACCUCUGGAAAACCGUAAAAUUUCUAUGUAAAAUUAGCACAAUAAACUCAAUGGAAUUGAAUUCUAAUCCCUCGAGCAAAUAUUUGCUAUAUGCUUCCCGUUCAUAAAUGGAAUACAAGUAGUUAAGAGAGCGUAUUUAUUAAAAAAAUUAUAUAUUUUCACUGAAAAUAAAUCCAUCUCUGAUAGUCAACUGCCCAUUAGUGGUAGUGUUACCCAUCCAAGAGUGCAAAGCGAGAAUCCUAACUUGCACGCGCACGUUGCCGGCGCGCAUUCUGGCCCACACGGCCCAACACGCGCGCGCGAAUCUUCUUUUUUUUCGCGCUGUUUUUUCUCUUUUUUUCACUUUCUUUUUUCUGUGAUUUUUUCCUUUUUGUUUUUCACUUUUUUCGGUUACUUUUUAUUUUAUUUUUUUGCUUUCUUUUUUUCCGUGUUUUUUUCGCUUUUUUAAUCUUCCAACGACACGUGUUUUUCAAAUGUUUUGUGUUGAAAGUUUUUAAAUCUUAACUUCAAAAUUUUAAAUUAGGACAAAGUUUUCAAAUCUCGAGUUAAAAAUUUUCAAAUCUCAAGUUGAAAGUUUUGAUAAUUUUCAAAUCUAGACUUGAAAGUUUUCGAAUCUCGAGUUGAAAGUUUUCAAAUCUCGAGCUGAAAGUUUUCAAAUCUCAAGUUGAAAGUUUUCAAAAUUUUCAAAUCUGAACUUGAAAGUUUUUGAAUCUCGAUUCUCGAGUUGAAAGUUUUCAAAUCUGAGUUGAAAGUUUUCAAAAUUUGACUUUAAAACAUGAAACUUAAAUCGAAAGUUUUUUAAUCUAACUUAAAAAAUUUUAAUUCUGUUAGUAAAAUAAUCUCUAAAAAAAUAUUCAGAAUCUUACCUAAUUACUAUCAUUAGUAUCAAGUGUUAACUAAUAGAGGUAGUUAAGGCCUUAAGAGGGGGAGGUGCGCGCCAGUAGCGCGCACGCGCUAGCUAGGAGCAGGAAUCCUAAUUGGCGCGUAAGCGCCGGCCCACACGGCCUAAUAGGCGGCAAGACACGGUUAGUUUUUCUUUUUUCCAAAUUUUUCCAUACAUGUGUAAACUUUCAACCCAGAUUUGAAUACUUUUAACUCCGACUUGAAAACUUUCAACUUCGACUUGAAAACUUUCAACUGAAAACUUUCAACUUCGACUUGAAAACUUUCAACUCAUAUUUGAAAACUUUCAACUCAGAUUUAAAAAAUUUCAACUCGAGAUUCAAAAACUUUCAACUCGAGAUUCAAAAACUUUCAACUCGAGAUUUGAAAACUUUCAAAUCGGAUUUGAAAACUUCAACUCGAGAUUUGAAAACUUUCAAGUACAGAUUUGAAAAUUUUUAAGUUAAGAUUUGAAAAAAAUAUGAAAACUUUCGACUCAGAUUUAAAAACUUUCAUCCCAGAUUUGAAAACUUUCGACUCCGAUUCGAAAACUUUCGACUCGGGUUCGAAAACUUUCGACUCGAGAUUUGAAAACUUUCAACUCAGAUUUAAAAACUUUCAAAUCAGAUUUAUAAAUUUUCAAAUCGAGAUUUGAAAACUUUCAACUCAAAACAUUUUUUUAAAAAAUAAGUGUGCUAAAGAUUAAAAAAAAGUAAUCAGAAAAAAAAGGAAAAAAAGUGAAAAAAAUCGCAAAAGAAAAACGAAAAAUAAUUACGAAAAAAAAGAAAAAAAGGGCUGAUGGGCCGGGAGCAGCUGGCGCGCCAGCGCGCGCGCCAACUAGCAACCCCCAGCUAGGAGGCCCUAGUGCAAAGGCGUAUGAGGAGUUUUUUUUGUUUUUAGAUUUUUUUUUUUAAUAUUUACAGAAAUAUUAUAGCGCCGAAAAAAUUUGCAAAACUAGACCCUGCCGCCCUUCGCAAGGGCGGCAAGCCGACGUGGCACACGGCGCCGUGUGCGUCUUGACGGCGCGCACGGGCCGCGGGGAGCCGAGGGCUUGCCGCCCUCUGCAAGGGCGGCAGCUUCCUCUCUGCACAACGGCUGGAAAGGACUCCUGUUUUUGGAAAACGUAACAGCGAAGUGUAGGAAUGCGAGUCCCGAAUAUAAACAACAACAUAUUCAGUUUACAACCAUAUAGUACAAGAAUGUAAAGAAAAAUAAAGAGAUGUCUGCUCUACUGGCCGUGACUCGCGCCGCGACCCCGCUUGGUCCUCCGGGCCUGUGCUCGCACGUGGUCCUGGGAGUACGUGAAGCGAUCCGGUGGGACAGCACGGGUAGCGCGAGGGUCUGGGAGUGGGGUGGAGGGCGACUGCUCCUGCGUGUGCACCGGCGGUGCGCCUCCAAGCUGUGAGGGACCGAUAAUGUCCGGGAAGUCGAAGUCACUAAUGUCGAAGUGCGUGGCGGAAGCCCACCCGUGCUCGGACGAAGUCCCGGUAGGACCCUGCCAAGACGUGCCGGGCGGCUGUGACGAAGUCCCGGCGUCCUGCCAGAACUGCGCAGACAGCGAGGCCGACACACCUGCCUGUGACGAUGACCCCGCAGCCUGCCAGGAGUGGGCGCCCGGCGUCGUCCCAGGCUGAGCGAAGCCUACACAUCGACGACGCGACACUUGUAAGCUUACACAUAAAUUGAGUAUCAAUUGAUUGAUGAUGUACAAAUAGACCUUGAAUAUACGUACCUCCGAAGGGAGGGGGUGUCGGCGUAGGAACGUGCGCAGCUGGACGAGGAGCAGUCGGUCGGGGACGCACCUGUGGUGCUGCGUCUGCCUGAGCAACGUCGGCAGCACGACAGGUCAGCGCACGGAGAACCGAGCGCAUCGAGUCCCGUAUCCGCGUGUACGUCGACAGGUGCUCGUCUGCCCCCACCUCAAUCCCCGCGCCUAACCGUUGGAUCGCCGUUGUAGCAUCAACGACGACCCUGUUGCACUCAACGGCCUGCACGGUUAAUUACAACGUAAAUAUUCGUAGCCUUUGUCCAACAGAAAGGAUGAUGAGACGAUGGUGCGAUGCAAGGUACUCACCGCACGAGCGAAGUCCUGGUCGCGGUGCCUGGCGUAGAGGUCUCUGGCGCUCGCGGCGUGGGCCUGUUGCUCCGUCGGAGCGUAGGUGACUCUAGUACGGGUGCGUGGCUGAUACCAACGUAGGUACGCCUCAUACCCCUCCUCCGUGUGUGGCUCUCCCGCGUGGUCCACGACCUCCUCGGUAGCAAGCAACCAGUCGUCGAGAAAAGGCCCCAACUUGGCAGGCCAGUGACCAGCUGAGUGCUGACCCUUGCGCGAGUACCUGCAAAUUAAUGUAUUGUAUUAGGGCAAACGACAAACAAAGCAAAUUAUUAUGGACAGCCCGAUGUUAAUGCAACAUAUUAAAUCGUAGUAAAACGGCUUACCGGUGAACGGCAGCCGUGACGCCCGCCGGAAACGGGACUGGAAAGGACUGACGGAAGCCGAACUGCCGCAUCACGCGGUAAGGUGCGUGCGGCUCGACACAGAUGUCGAACACCAUCGGAACCGUAGUCAUCCAGUAUACCAACUAGUGGGAGUCCACGGACACCGCGCAUCACCCAGUUGUAAACUUCGGCCAAAUUUGUUGUCAUUAUACCAUAUCUAGCACCACCUGUGUCAUAAGUCUUAGCCCAUUUCUCUUUUGGCUCAUUCUCAAUCCACUGAGAAAAUUUUCGAAUUUGCUCCCCAGUUCUUCUAACCAAUGUUACACUGUCUGUUGGGAGAGCUCCGAGUGCUUGAGGAGGGUCAGGUACAGCGGCCGCUGGUCUUGUUGCACGCUGGUCACUACAUUUGCCUGUCAACUCAUCUAAUCUCUUCCAAAGCUCAUUGAAUUUUUUCUCCUGGUUCUGAUUGCAUAGCCUCUUGAACAUGUUCAUCAACUCCUUGUUCUUAAAUUGCUUGAAGAAAUUAGCUCCCAUAUGACGCAUGCACCACCUGCUUUGUACAUCUUCCCACUGGCCAGGGUAUCCUCUUUCCAUAGUCCCAAACUUUAACUCUUCUAUCGCUCGAAGCAUACCGGCGUGCCUGUCAUGUAUUAGACACACAUUGGGCCUCAUACCAACAACUUCUGUCUUAACCAGAUGGAGGAACCAGUACCAGCUGUCGGUGUUCUCGCUCUCGACAAAAGCAAAUGCCAACGGCAAUACCUGAUUGUUCCCAUCUACCCCAAUUGCCGUUAGUAUCUGGCCCCGAUACUUCCCGGUCAAAAAUGUGCCAUCAAUACAAAGAACUGGACGACAGUGCACGAAUGCCAUCUUGCAUGCAUGUAGAGCUAAGAACGCUCUUUGCAGCACAGUCUUGCCAGGAUGUUCAAUUGAGGGGAAUGUCUUGAGUGCACAAGAGGUCCCAGGGUUUCUUUGUUGGAUAACAGAUAGCAGACGUGGCAAAUUGUCAUAUGAGGCUUCAUAAGUUCCAAAUCUCAUCUCUAUUAUUUUCUGUUUGGCCCUCCACGCCUUGGCAUAGCUAAUUGUAUACUUGAAAGUCUGUUCGAUAUGUCGGAUUAUUGACUUCGGUUCAUAUGCCAGAUUGUCCACGACAUGCGCAUACAUCUCAGAUGCAACAAAUGCACAUGUAAUGUUCCUGUGGUAUUUUUGAACACCAGGUAGAUAACAAGUAUGUUUCGUAACGACCGACACUGUCCAGUAGUCCUUCCAUUUCCCCUUAUAGGCGUGCACUCUCCACGGACACCCAUCUUUUUCAUUAACACACCUAACUUCAUAUUGUGUCCGGUUAGACUUGGCAACCCAAAACUCCCUAUGAAGUGACACUGCAUAAUGCUUCACCGCCUCCUUCAUGUCUUCUCCAUUACCAUACCUCGCUCCCUCGAUAAUCUCGUUUUCCUUGUACUCCCAUCUCACAUUUUCCCCUUCAGAGAUGACCAAACCAGAAAAAUCAUCACUAGCCCAUUCAGCUGGAUUAAUAUUGUUCUCGUCAUCAUCUGACGAAUCAUCUUCCUCGACACGCUCGUUGUCACUAUCCUCUUUUUCCAUUUCGUCCACAAUGGCACCCACAGUCUCCCCCUCGUCAGCCACUCCACCAGGUUGCAUGCCUACUGGAGCUACUACUGGAGCUACUCCAUCUUCCUCUGGUGCGUUGACCUGAUCCACUUCAAUCUCAUUCACUUCUGCACUUGGCCCCUCGCCAUCAUCCAUGUUCAUCUGUACACUUGGAUCCUUCGGAUGAACAUACGGAACCAUAGCUAGAGGCCACCCACGUUGCAAUGCAUUCUCCACAUACCAUCUCCACAUCCCAGAGUUUUGAACCGGCAUUAGUUCCCAAUAAAAACCCUCUGUUGCCCGACUUACUACAACAUAGAUUGUAAUGUCACUAGUCUGUGGAUCAACUCCCAAGCCCCGCAUCAACCAUUUUUUUAUAGAAGGUACACUCCUCUCGGCUGGCCUAUCAAUUCCCCUUGCUGUUACAAUAAAUUCUGACAGAUCUACCCCAGUUGGCCCAUAACGGACGUUUCCUUGACCAUGGUAUAGUUGAAAUAUAAGUUUACUGGACAUAUCUGCAAAGUUAAUUACUAGGCCGUUAUUUUACAUAAUAAACGACUACAGUGUAAUAUCUUCUUUGCAACGUACCUAAAUUUUUAUAUAUUCUAUUGCAAUGUUACUCAACAACAUUUAAAACUACAAACCUAAUAACUACAAAUACUACAGAUCUACUAAGUUACCUACAUGGCUACAUCUAACAAUAUAUAUUUAUAUAGUACCACAGGUAAAACUCUAUUUCAUACAAUGCAUUUAUCAUAUAUUUAGUCACGUAUAUAAUCUACGAAUAUUACCUGAAAUCGAAGUUUGAAACUGGCAGGGCUUCGCCUCUUCUUUUCUUCUCCUCCCCUUCUCCUUUUUUUUUUUUUUUGAUGUGGAGAGGUUAGGAGGGAAUGGGCUCCUCAAAGGAGCCGGCUGGGCUUUAUAGGCGGCCAGGCCUGCCGCCUUCUGUAAGGGCGGCAAGGGGGUCCUGCCGCCCUUUGCCAGGGCGGCAAGAGGGCAGGAGGGGGCAGGAGGACGGCCGUCCCGCGCCGUCCAGCGCGCCGUGUGCCACGUCGGCUUGCCGCCCUUGCGAAGGGCGGCAGGGUCUAGUUUUGCAAAUUUUUUCGGCGCUAUAAUAUUUCUGUAAAUAUUAAAAAAAAAAAAUCUAAAAAUACAAAAAAUUCGGCGUAUGAGCAGAUCCAACCUAAUUGGGCCUAGUUGGGCCGAGCGAAUAAAAACAUCAGCCCGUUAGGGCCUCGUUUGUAUAGGCCAAAAUUGUGGCCCAUCCACGUGUACGGGCUGGCACGUUCAAUUCUGUAGCCCAUUCAAAACAAAACUCUGAUCAGCUAGGUCUAAUGGACUUCUAAAUGCUACUCCGGCCCAACACGCUAACUAAUCAGUUGUUUGCGCCUCUGAAAAUCGAAUUAAGACAACUUGACCAUGCGAGACAUGGAGAUGAAAGUUCAACACGGAAAAAAACAAAGAACACAAACAAGAAACAUUCAUCUCUACACCAUGUAAGCAUGUAUUCCACCAAAAAGUUUAUUGUGUAUGUUUUGACUUCUACACCUACCCCACCAAAAAGUUCUAUGCGAAUGAUCGAUGCAACAGCUGCAAAAGUAAACGCGUCCCUGUAAAUUAAUUGUGCAUUCACUUAUCGCCUUACAUUUAAUUUCUUUCUCUACCAUACUUAAUUACAUAAGAAAUUUAAUGUUUGCAAAUCGGUGUAUUUUCAUACCUGCAGCAAUGCAGCUAACUUUUUGCAAGACAUGUUCAUGCAUGGUAAAUUGGUAACCACCCAAAAUACAUUGCCUAUAUCUAUGUUUUGAAAGGAAGAUAUACAUAGGUUAUAGGACAAGUUGUUUGCUAACCUUAGAGUUAGAGGCAGACCAUUUCUACUAGUACGUAUUGUUUAAAUUUGACUUUUGGAGUUGUAUAUUUGUGCUAAGAUAUAGUCAAAAGGGAGCCUCAAAUUAAUUCACCAACUUCAUCAAACUGUGCAACGACAAUAAUCUGUACGUAUAUCACCUAGUGAACUAACUAACUAUUGCAGAGAGCAUGCAUACACACUACUAAAAUACUUUUCUAGUUGCCUUUGGAGACUUUCUUGGAUGCAUGACGCCAUGAUCCCCAUGCAUCUAAUUUAUUACAUAUAUAUCUGCAGCUACUUGGUAGACUAAUUAAGCUAGAUGAUCAUGAGAUAUCAUUUGACCAGGUAAUUAACUUCAGGGACAAAAGGUAAACUUAGGAAAACGAAAUGUACACUUACUAAACAUAUGUAUAUAUACAUCAUGCGUCAUCCUCCAAACUCACACGACUUUGUCCCGGUCACCCCAUCGACCUUGUCAAAUUUUAUUAUAUUGAUCUCUCAACCAAAAGCUUUCUGUCUUUAAGUGGGUUAAGAAUGUUUUACAAGUAAUCUACACACACAUCUUUGCCCAUUUCUAAUUCCUUCUUACGCAAAUGAUUGUGUGUAGAUCGAUCGAUCUGUUACUACAAAGUCUGAGCAACAUUAGGUGAUGGUGACACACAAUUACAAUAUUAUUUGUACUUAUUUUGUCGGCCUAAUUGAUGUACAGCUAUCUAUUACUAGUUCUUCCUUCGAUUCCAAGCAUAUAGUAAUAUAUGACACGAUGCAAUUUGCAUUCAUACCCAUAUCCCUUUCUCACUUUCUCAGUGCAGCCGACCCAAAGUUGGAAAUUUUCUUGAUCCAUAGACCUGCAUGGAAAUAUUUAUUGGAAUCUACCACCUCACCUAUUUUAAUAUAAUUUACAAAUUACUCUUUGAACUUCUUUAAUAUUAAGAAGCAAACAAAUCUAAAUGGAUAGCCACAUAUAAAAUAGAAUUAAGGUGAACAUUUCCCAUAGAAAAAAAAAAGAUGUGAAAAAAAUAUUAUGUUAAAAUUUUCUUUUAUCCAUAGCAAAGCACGGACAUUCAGCUAAUAUGAAUAUAUGAUCAUCAAUCAAGAUCAAGCCGUCCAUCGCUCCUCGAGAUUCGCGAAACUUUGGAGUUUCUCCCAAAGUCCAUGGACAGGUUCAUGCACGCGUCUGACACGCUUUCUUAACAAACAAAUCAAGUUUGUUAGCUUGUCUAAUUAAUGGAGAUCAUUAGCUACUACAAAGAUUUAGUCGUGUUGUUGACUCGGUUAAUUGCAAACAUGAAGAGGACGCAUGCAAAACGCGCCAACUCCCAACUGCUACGAUCUUUUGGUAGCCUCCCUAUAUAUACCACUCCACUCCAUAUCAUCGUCUUCCAUCUCAAAAUCAAUCUAAAUCCAUCCAUCGAUCUCUCAAUUAAUUAACCUCAAGAGAGAAGUAAUUAAUUGAGCUAGCUAGCUAGAUAGUGAGAUAAAUAGUGAUCAAUAGCUAAGCUAGCUAGCUUCGAUCGAUUGAUCAUGAUGAGGUCGCCGUGGAUGGUGUUUGCAUGGGCGGCGGCGAUGGUGGCCGUGGCGGCGGCGUCGCCGGUGCCGACGAAGCUGAAGGUGGGGUUCUACGAGCACAGUUGCCCGCAGGCGGAGGAGAUCGUCCGCAACGCCGUCCGCCGCGCCGUCGCCCGUGACCCCGGCCUCGCCGCCGGCCUCAUCCGCAUGCAUUUCCACGACUGCUUCGUCAGAGUAAGUACACAUAUAUCACGUGCCAUUCUUGAAGAAGCUGUCAAUGGCGUGUAAUUAAUUAAGGCCUCUAAUUAGUCAUGAUUAGAUGAUACUUUCUCUGUUUUAGUCAAACUAAUUUAUAGAAAAAUAGAACAACAUCUACAGCACCAAAUUAGUUUCACUAUAUAUGUAACGUUGAAUACAUUUUUGAUAAUAUCAUUGUGUCGUGUUGAAAGUUUUAUUAUAUUUUUCUGUAAAUUUGAUUAAAUUAAAAAUUAAUUUUUGACUAUGGAAAAAAUUAAAAACGACUCAUAUUAUAAAGAGGGACGAAAUUAAACUAAUUGUGCUGAAUUUAAUUGAUUAUUUCAGGGGUGUGACGGGUCGAUACUGAUAAACUCGACGCCGGGACACGUGGCGGAGAAGGAUUCGGUGGCGAACAACCCUAGCAUGCGAGGGUUCGAGGUGGUGGACGACGCCAAGGCCAUCGUCGAGGCGCACUGCCCGCGCACCGUCUCCUGCGCCGACAUCCUCGCCUUCGCCGCCCGCGACUCCGCCCACCUCGCCGGCGCCACCGUCGACUACCCGGUCCCCUCCGGCCGCCGCGACGGCCGCGUCUCCGUCUCCGACGAGGUGCUCGCCGACAACGUCCCCGCCCCGACCUUCAGCCUCGCCCAGCUCGUCGCCAGCUUCGAGCGCAAGGGCCUCACCGCCGACGACAUGGUCACCCUCUCCGGCGCCCACACCAUCGGCCGCUCCCACUGCUCCUCCUUCACCGCCCGCCUCUACAACUUCAGCGGCGAGGCCGGCAGGACGGACCCGGCCAUCGACCCGGCGUACGCGGCGGAGCUCAAGCGCCGGUGCCCGCCAGCGACCGACGACCAGAUGGACCCCACCACCGUGCCGCUCGACCCGGUGACGCCGGCGAGCUUUGACAACCAGUACUACAAGAACGUGCUCAAGCACAGGGUGGUGCUCAACUCCGACCAGGCGCUGCUCGACAGCCCGUGGACCGCCGGCGUCGUCAAGCUCCACUCCGCCGUCGAGAAGGUGUUCCAGGUCAAGUUCGCCGCCGCCAUGGUGAAGAUGGGCAACAUCGACGUGCUCACGGGUGACGAGGGAGAGAUCAGAGAGAAGUGCUUCAUGGUCAACAACCACUACUAGUUGUCAAUCAAUAAUUAAGCUUAUAUUAUAGUAUAUAUAUAAUUUCAUCUGCAGCUGGUUUAUACAUGUAGAAUUAGUAAUAUUACACGCCCAAAUUUCAUCAUGUGGAAAUUUUUUUGUUGUUGUUUUGUGUGGCAAAUUGUGAUUAAGAAAAGAUUCUAUUGUUAACUCAAACAAGAGAAGAUUUUCUUAUAUUGUUUCAAAUCAGAGUGGAGAAAAUAUUUUAGUUUACUGUUAUCUAAAAAAACAGAAGAUUUUAGUUCACAUCAGAAAUGAGGAAAAUGCUAUAUUGUAAAGGUAGAAUGGUUUUUUUGAUACCAUGGCCCAUCUUAUGACUAUAAAUCCCACAUAACAACGAGUAAAUCAAUCUGGGCCGAAUGAAUUGUAACGUGGCAGGAAGGGCUAGCUAUGUACUGGGCUAUGGAAGUUCAGUGAAUUGGCUGGGCUCUCAUCCAUAAUCUUGAACUGUAAUGACAUAACUGAUGUAAAUCUGAAGGGUAUAUCAUUUACAUAUCUGGAGUUUGAAUCCUGGAUAUUUGAGUUAAUUUUUUUAGAUAACAAGAAAUCCCAGACUUUACUUCAACAGAAGUUAUAGUAAUUACUAGUACUACCAAGUUUGCAGGACAACUAUCUGCUCUUAUAUAACAAUAGAAAAGAUGAAGGAACAAAACAAACCAUAAAAUGGAUGAAAACUUGAAAAAAUAAAAAUCAGGAAGCAUGCAUCUAUUUCUAAAUCAUUUUAAAAUAUUUUUGUAAAUCUUUUGUAAAUAUUUUUUGUUUCCCUUUGUAAAUAACCUCUUGUAUUUUUAAUAUAUUUUCACAGUAGGAGUCUCUACUACUGUUUCCUGUCAAAAAAUCUAUUUCUAAAUCUUCAUCCAUGAUUAAUUAGCAAAGAUUUGCAUGGCCAUUAUUUGAGUAAAAUAGAAAGUAAAUAAAUUGUGCUAACCGUACUUUGCCUGCAAAAUGCGCGUUUCAAAACACAAAUAUGUAUAUUGUGUGGCUAAAAUACAAUGGCACAUAUUAUUAUUAGUUCCAUUAAAGGGAUGCAAGUGGGUAGUCCCACUACCCGCAUAGAAACCCGCUUGCUAGUUUAUUUCUCACAUGGUGGUACAAAAUUUAGAAGAAAAAAUGAACUAGAAUAGUGAGAUAAGCGGGCUAAAAAACCCACUUGCAUCCCUAAAAUUAGAUUACACCCAGCAUGCAUGCAAUUUAAUACUAACGCAUGCUAAAUUGAGAUGAUCAGACUCCUAAUUGCAAUUCAUGAUUUUGUAAAAGAAAAAAACCCAAGCGAAUUCCCACGAUGAAUUACAAUAAUAAAAAUAAUAAAAUUAAAAUAGCCUUCACCCACUGCAACGUAUGGGCAUUUUUUCUAAUUUUUUUUUAAAAAAUACACACACUUCUAUUUCUGUCUGAGACCCACGAGAGCCCUCUCAUGGUUUGUCUGGGCUACAAGCAUGUCCUGUUACAUCAUGUGAGACCAAAGUACAAAACAUACGAUUAUUACAUAUAUAUAGAUGAUCUGAGAUCGAUGUAAGAUAACGCGUGUGCGUGGUUGAUCGAUCGAUCGACCGAACCUCCUGUGGAGAUGAUGAUGAACUGAGACCCAUUUCUUGUGCGUGUAACUGACGAGCUCGAUCGAUCAUGCAUGCACUCAACUGCAGUUUGGUGAUAUAUGAUUGGUGCAUUUUAGCUUUAUACUAUCUCCCUAAUUAUGGUGGAUCUUGAUUUUGUGGCAUCGAUCAAUUAAGCAUGGAAAAAUUCGGUCAGACGGCAUCCCUCCUGGAAAGGAACUCACCAGCUUAAUGUAUUGACCUCCUGGGUGUGCAUGUGAUCAUCAGCUCUGAUUCAAUUAAUCGUGGACCGUCAGAUGGCGGUGCGGGUCGAUCUGAACCGUCGGUUUUCUUGCCAUGUCAUCAUAUCUAACUUGAUGUCAUUUUCUCCUCUUCUUUCUGAAAAGCAAGUUUACAAAAGGGCACUCAUUGUUAUAUCAAAUAUAAAAAAGAUGUCGUUUCAAGCAGCAGGUGUGUUUAGUUCACGUCAAAAUUGAAAGUUUGGUUGAAAUUGGAACGAUGUGACGGAAAAGUUAGAAGUUUGUGUGUGUAAGAAAGUUUUGAUGUGAUGGAAAAGUUGGAAGUUUGAAGAAAAAUUUUGGAACUAAACUCGGCCAUACAAGGUUAGAUAUAUAGAGACAUUUUUUCUCUCUUUUUUUUCUAGCUAGCUAGCUUCCUCAAGUUGCAAGUUAACCCUAGCUACUAGUGUCGUUGACACCCAAUGUGUCACCUCUGUUUGAGCUCGAUAUCUAUCGUCUUUUCGUAUGGUUCUAUUAUGUUCCAAGCUUUCCUUCCAUAUGAAAAGAACACAUCACCAGAUGAACGCAUUUGCCGCUUAUGGAGCAUGCCAAUGAUGGUGACACACUUAACAGGGCUAGCUACAGGAGGAGCCUUACAAUUUGCACAAAUCCUGGAGAACAAUUCGAGUGGAAUCCAAAAGUAUAUCGGAUUUUAAGUCAUGGAUGGUUGAGUUGGUGCUGUCAGAGCGUGAAAAGGGAAGCGGAAAUGGGCGAGGCUUUUGUGACUAGGAUGACAAAGGUGUGGAUAUUUGGUUGCAUCUGUUUCGAUGGCACGAAUCAUGUAUAUGGACAAGAAAUAUGAGACAAUGUCGGUACCAGAAAGGAGAUGUAGAUGGGUACAAAUACAAGAUCAAUGUGGAUCUGAGCGUGGUGUAGUUGAGGAAUGGAGUGGAUUAUUAUUAGACGCUGAUGUUGAGAUAAGGAGUAUAUAUAUGUUUUUACACCAUAGUUAUAGAAUGCAACCAAAUCAUCGGAUGAUUUGUAGUAUCUCACAACUAUGAAUACGACUUUUAUGUGUAUUGUGUGCCUGUGUCUAUGUGUAAUAAACGGUCCAUAUAUAUAAGACCGUAACGAUCCGGACUUAGAAGUCAAAGCCAACUAGAGAUGAUCACAACAAUAUGUUUGUGCAUGGAUGGAUCUUCAUAAAGUUUUAUGGUACUUACAAUUAAGUUCAACCUAUCUCGUCAACAAUACUGUUCCUUCUUUUUUUCAGGGAACAACACUGUUUCCUUGAGUAUUGCAUACAAUCCAAGUCUAUGAUGUAUGUUCGAUUGUGUGACUGAGAUACUAUGCUUAAUUGCUUAUUAGAGCCACAUUUUAUAAUUAAAAAGAAAGAAAUAAAUAAUUGUUAAGGUCCCUAUACCAUUUUAGUUAGCGGACUACAAGUCACUAAUACAAACCAAGGUCAGCUGUGAAAUAACCAAAUAGCCUACGCGGCAUGUAGAGAACAAAAAAAAUCAAUUGCCGAUGGUUUCUUCAAUGGUGUCGAUGGUUACAUACUUCCAUGUGAACUGUAAACCAUUCACGUAAAUGGCCUACGAGUAUGUACUACAUCAAUACAUAUGCCGAGAUAGUUUUAUGCAGACGGUAUGGUAUUAACGUACAGGUUUCAUGUUUAAUAGGUUAGUCAUUAACAAUAUUCCAAGACCAAGGGGGUCACAUUUCUAUUUUUUUAAAAACAAAACAAUGCAGGUUACUACAAGCAAGCUACGUGCAUACUACAUGCCUUUCAACUCAGUCCCUGCACUUUAGAAGGAAGCAUAAAAUAAAGCAAGAUAUGACGGACAUGGAGCACCAACCAGCAGGCCAGAAAAUAUAUAGAUUGAUCAAGGAGUCAAUUUGAUUUAAGUAAAAGCAAGUGCAUGCUGUGCUGGCUCUGCUUGUUACGAAAACGAAAAAAAGAAAAGGAAAAGCAAGAUAUUUCCGGGGCAAUUCUCGCAGAGGGGUUGGGCUCUAUCGAUCGACAAGUUGGUGACACCUUGCACUACAUCCAUUGUCACCCUGACAUUCUUCUGUACUGCGCUAGUUCAUAGAUUCUACUUUUUCAAAAUAUUCUACCUUUUAGUUAUCUGCUCAAUUAUGUCUUGAUGAAAAAUUACUUUUCAAUAAUUGCCAGAUUUAGAAGUUGAACUUCAGAAAUUAAUGUUAUGUUUGACACGGCUCCGAAUCUAAAAAUUUUUUGGACCGGUGUAUUACAACUUCAAAAUUCAUGGAUAUAUAUGAAUAUGCGAUUACGUUCUGGAUGGAACAUUGUUUUCUUUAUUUUUUUGGGAAAAUUCAAAUAACCCCCUUAUAAGUCACUAUUUUUUUACACUCCCCCUGCAACCCACUCUGAUACAAAAGACCCUCUGCAAAUUAGAUUUCUCUUCCAAAGUUCUGCAUGUUGCUAAUUUUCCACAAUUCAUCAUUGUUUGCUCAGGUUCUUGUGCCAUGUGGGCAUCCAACAUGGAGAAAUGGAGUUGCCCUGGCCAUGUCAUCUUGAUAAGGGUGGGGUUCCUUCUACCUUCCACGAGCGCAGCGACGGCGACAAUAAACCUCAACAGAAAACACAACACGGCUAUUCGGAACAUCUACAACUCAGUGUGAUAUCCCUAGUUGACAAGAGGUAUUCUCCCUUGUUGAUACGGCAUGGGGAUACCUCAUCUCGCUAUGUUGGAAGCUAGGCGGCAUGAGGAGUCGAGGAGUUGAACCAACGGUGAUAAAUCAAUGAAAACUAGCAGAAGAGGGAAAAUUAAAAAGAGAAACUGAACUUGUAGAGGGCCUUUAUAUGUACGAAAGUGAGAAGAGUAGAAAAACAGCUGACUUAUAAUUAAGGGCUAUUUGGAUUUUUUUUUCCCCUUCUAUCUUAAAUGAAAUAUAAAAUUUUAAAUCAUUAUAGUUUAAUAUACAAACUUCAAAUCGAAUGUGCAUUUAGAUCUGGAGUUGUGGCAAAUUAAGAGAGCCUAAACCAUGAUAAGCUAGCGUGUUCUUUUUUAAAGAAAAAAAAGGAAUUGAACUAUUUAAUUCAGCGGUAUACAUUCCGAACUCCUAUACGGUGCAGAUUUCGUAAAAACUUUAUAUAUAUAUAUGAAUUUAUUUUAAAAUUAUUUUAAAUCCAUCUUUCAAAAAUAUAAUAUUUAAUUAAUUCGUCUGUACUCUCAAAUUUUAUCAUAGAUCGUUCAGCUAUUCAUUCAUUCAACUAUUUAGAAUGGAAAAAAGAACACAUAGAAAGCUAAUUGUACCAUAGAGUGUCCUCUCCUCUAGAGCUGUUUUUCUUGAGAGAGAAUUAAUAUUCAUAGAAUACAGUUGUCGAGAUCCCUUUGAAACAAUAAAUUAGUUUCAGAAUUCAGAACAAGUUACCUACAAUUAAAAUCAAUUAAUAGCUUGAGAGUUCAGCUAGCUAGCUCUGGAUGGCAGCUUUGUUUCGCAGAUAUGCCCAGCACACCAUCCGGCGUGUGUGGACCAUCCAUGCACAUAUGCAUUGGUCCUUUCUCCAACAACCGAUAUAGCGAUCGAUCUCGCACAAGGAAACGAAUUGUUCACGUGGCAGCUACCUUUCUACCAAUCAAUGGCGCUCCAUCGCCAUGGCACCAUGAACUAUCAAAUGCAAGCUAACCAUUUGUCUAUAUAUAUACCUCUUGUCCUUUCCAACAUCUCACAGCCAUUUCACUAGACAGCUUAGCUAGCAGGUAGCUGAGAGAGUUCCUUCGAUCUCGAUCUCUGCACGGCGACGAUAAGAUAAGCAAUGGCAGUCUCGUCGCCGGCGCCGUCGUCUCUGCAUGUGCCGAUGGCCGCUGCGGCACUAUUAGGGAUGCUGAUGAUGAUGUCGUCGGCGCCGGAGAUGAAGGUGGAGGCGGCCGGCGGGUUGUCCGUCGGGUUCUACGCCGAAUCGUGCCCCAAGGCGGAGGCGAUCGUCCGGGACACGGUGACCAAGGCGUUCGAGAAGGCGCCCGGCACGCCGGCCGACCUCAUCCGCCUCUUCUUCCACGACUGCUUCGUCCGCGUAAGUAUAGCACCCCGCUUACGUGGAUGCAUCGUGUCCGUGCCACGUGUGCUCACUAGGCAGCUUUGUGCUUACGUGGACGCACCAUGUCGUGCCACGUGUACUUAGCUUAUGUUGACGCACCAUAUCGUGCCAUGUGUUCUAACUAGGCAGCUAUAUAUGACUCUCUAGGGAUGUGACGCAUCGGUGUUGCUGGAGUCGACACCAGGGAACAAGGCGGAGAGGGACAACAAGGCGAACAACCCUAGCUUGGAUGGGUUUGACGUCGUCGAUGAUGCCAAGGACCUCCUCGAGAAGGAGUGUCCACACACCGUCUCUUGCGCCGACAUCCUCUCUCUCGUGGCUCGUGAUAGCGCCUACCUUGCUGGUGGGCUCGACUUCGAGAUCCCAACAGGUCGUCGUGAUGGCUUCGUCUCUAAGGAGGAUGAGGUCCUCUCCAACGUCCCUCACCCGGAGUUCGGUGCCAAAGACCUCCUCAAAAACUUCACCGCUAAAGGUACAUAUUAUAUACUUGUACUACAUAGAUACGCAUAUCAUCGGUAACAAUUUCAUGGGGUCAUCAUAUGCACUUGCCAGUUUAUCUAAAGUCUUGUUAAUGCUCUCCCUCAUACCGAUGUCCCAUAAAUCAUCAUAGAGCGAGUUAUGAAUGCAAGAUAGUGAGAGUUGUUUAGCUCUGAUAUACGGAAAGUGUUUUUAUCCCUCGAGAGGAUAUCCCAACGUUUAUGAUUGCCACUUAAAUAGUUAUAAAAGUAUGAAAAAAAUUAACAAGAUAGAUUAAUAUAAUAUAUAUCACUCUAUAAACAUACAAGUUAAAAUUUAACUUUUACAAGUUGUAUUAAAUAUAACUGCAAAUGUUCAAUAAUUAUUUUCAAUUUAAUUUGUUCUUUUGGUUGUAACUCGUAGAGUCGAAUUUGACUUUUAUGUUUAUAGAGUGAUAUAUUUUAGAUAUCUAUAUUUUAUAUUAAAUUAUCUUGUCAAUUUUUUAAAAAAUUUAGUAACUAUUUAGAUGACAUACAACCAACAAAGAAAUAUCCUCUAAUACCAUAUUAAUGAUAUACGAUUACUUAGGUUUUACGGCGGAGGAGAUGGUGACGCUGUCGGGGGCGCACUCUAUCGGCACGUCUCACUGCUCAUCGUUCACAAACCGGCUGUACAAGUACUACGGCACGUACGGCACGGACCCGUCGAUGCCGGCGGCGUACGCGGCGGACAUGAAGAGCAAGUGCCCGCCGGAGACGGCGGCGCAGCAGGACGCGACGAUGGUGCAGCUCGACGACGUGACGCCGUUCAAGAUGGACAACCAGUACUACAGGAACGUGCUCGCCGGGAACGUCACGUUCGCCUCCGACGUGGCCCUCCUCGACACGCCGGAGACGGCGGCGCUCGUCAGGCUCUACGCCGCCGGCGACCCCGCAGCCUGGCUCGCCCGCUUCGCCGCCGCGCUGGUCAAGGUCAGCAAGCUCGACGUGCUCACCGGCGGCGAGGGGGAGAUCAGGCUCAACUGCUCCAGGAUCAACUAAUUAACUCAAAUUAAAUUCGCGUGAAGUUUGUGAUUCUCAUAUAUACAAACACUACUGCCCUGUUGCCAUGCAUGCAUGAGGCUCAUUUGAUUUAUUUUUCCUUAUAUGUUUGUGCAUGAUUCAAUGUACUACUACUACUACAACAACUUUUGUUUAUUUUUAUUUUCAGUUUCAUUUUUUACCUUUUGAUGCUGAGUGUGCCAAUUGGGCAAAAAUAAAUUGUGCUUCUGACCAUAUAUAUGGGUGAAUUUAUUCAAGGAGUAAAAUGUGUGCUAUUCAUGUUUUAUUUUGGUAAAGAUUUCAUUUGAUUCUUUCAUUUCUAGCUAGGUACCACAUUAAUUAUUUGAUUGGAAAUUUAAAAAUCGGUUGAAUUUUGAAAUCCUUUGGAUGUGGAAGCCCGAACACGCUGCCUUUCACCUAAUUGGCCAUCAGAUUCGACCUGUUGACAAAGCACUAGCCACCAAAUUCCCCAAUAUAUCAACAAUAUAAUGGUGGUUCUUCCUUCUUUUUCGUUGCGAAAAUGGUACAGAUUAUAAGUUGCUUGCUGUUUCAGCUCCACAUUUUAAACAUGAUCUGGCAUUACUGAAUGAGUGACCGAUCUUGUUAAUUACAGCCUGAAUUCAGGUGCAAUUGCUUCCUGUGGAUAAAUUAAAGGAUUAAUCUUAUUAUCUGAAAAAGUAAUAUAGGACUAGCUAACAUAAUCGUCCUACUUAUAUAUACACGACGUCAUGACUCCCGCUACUCCCUCCAUUUCAUAUUAUAAGUUGCUUAUAUUUUUUUUCAAACUUUUAAAAUUUGAUCAAGUUUAAAAGAAUAUAACAAUAUUUUCAACACAAAACAAACAUAUCAUCAAAUAUAUACAAUAUCAUAUUUAAUGAAACUAAUUUGGUGUUGUAAAUAUUGUUAUUCUUUUAAUAAAUUUAGUAAACUCUUAAAUAAGUUUGACUAGAAAAAACUCAAAACAACUUAUAUUAUAGAACGGUGGGAGUAAUUAAAACGAUAGUGAAAUAUGAUAAAUAUCGAUGACCAAUAAGUGAGGCCAGCUAAUGGUCAUCAGACUUCGACUUCGAGUAGGACCGAUGACUAUAGAAAAGGUAGGAUGUGAGGUGAUUUUGAUCCAACAACCUACAUACUUCAACAGAUUUUACCUAGAAAAUAGUUAUUAGAUUUGAAAGGAAACGGUACUCUCUCAUGAGUUUGCCAUGGUUAUUAUCUAUAGGGAUAUAUAAGAAAAAUAAAAAGUGAACUUCAAAAACUACCAUCUCUCUCUUUGAUACCGAUAGAAAACAUAAUUAACCAUUCAGAUGUGACUCUUUGUGUGCAUGACAACAAGUUACCUCUCUGGAAUUGCACUAAGUUGGUAGCUUCAGCAAUACCAUUUCUGAACUGCCCCAUCAGCUAUAUACAUGCAUUCAGCUAUGAUUUGACAUAAUACAUACUUAAUUAUGUGCCAAAUUUAUCAUGAUCAUCACUGCACUACGUGUUAAAUAAACUAAAGAAGAAUCGACGAUGCGAUCUAAUGGGUGAUUAAUCAAGAAUAACAGGUCGGAUGUCACUUUUUCUUGCAGCGUCGAUCUCCAUUUAGAAAAAUCUUUUCUCCUGUCAACGAAGAACCUUGAGCACGUACGUACUACUACUGAAGAAAAGCUCCUGGCCACCAACCAUAUGCUAAGCUAGCUUGUUAUUCAGUCUAGCUUUCACCGAUGAAAUAAUUGAAAUUUUGCACAACCCGACAUAUAUAAAAUCAGAUACAUCGCAAUUGAAAAGCCCAGACCACCGUGAAGGCUGAAGACACACUCCUCCGUUGAUAUUUCGAUGCAUCGCAUUCGCUGUCGUAUUUUUCACAAAUUAGCUAGAGAGAUUUUUGGCCUGGAAAAUUAAAGAGAGAUUAUUUUUGCUGUAAUUUGUCAUUCCUUUGGUUUAUCUCUAGUACGUAUGAACUUCUACAGAUCUGCACACAAAUUCCUUUGGUCUCUGAAGAAUGUAACACUAUAUUUUGAUCCUUAAUUAUAAACCAUGUGUGUUUUAAAAACAGAAAAAUAUAUUUUAAAUGAUCCUAUUAAUUUAUUUUUAAAGUUUAAAAUAAUUAAUACUAUAUUAAUCAUACGUAAUGACUAAUAUCGUUUUGCGUAUCUUUUAAUUUUUUUUCCUCUCCUCUGAAGAGAUCAUUUGUGUACCGUGUAAGUUUAGAAGGUAUCAUAAUUUCUAGUUUAAGUUUAACUGCACGGUAUUUUGUUUCUACUGCAGUGCUUUAAAUAAAAGGGGCAGCUCUUUAUGAAAGAAGAGCAUAGAGAGAGAAUCAAAGAAAUAAAGAAGGAAAAAGCAGCAAGAACUUGGUUGGGCCUAGACAAUCACGUAAAUGGGUUGGCCCACAUACUAAGAGCCUUUUAGACCUCUUUCUGGUGUGGCCCACAUAUUGAACAGAUACCGACCAUAAGAGUAAAUGGGCCGAUAUGAAGCCCAUGUCAUUUGGAGGCCUUAUCUGGUCCACUUCAAACUGGAAUCUUGGCCCGAUCCACGGGAAACUACUAGGGCCAUGAGAGAUUGGGCCUUCAGAUGGGCCCUGGUGGGUGAUUGAUCCAGUGACACCUCUUCCACUGGACCCCAAACCAAGAACAGCCCAGGAAAAAUGCCACUGUUUGGGCUUCUUGUAUGCAAGUGACAAAUGGGAGUACCAACUACCAAGUGGUUCAGUUUUGAGUGAAAUGAUUAAGACAGAAAUACUUAAUUAGCUUUCUUGAUUAGUUUUGAGUGAUAUUGAAUAAGACAGGGGUAAUGAAUAUGCAGUAGGUGAGAGUGGGUUGGAGGAGGAUCUCUUGGAGCUCCUGCUCCAACUCUAGCAAAACCCUCCUUCUCUGAAUUUUCUGAAUGCUGAUGUAUGCUGAAGCUUUCUUUGGUAGUGUUCAUCACUUGUUGCCUUUCUAAUUGAUUCAUCCAUGCAUGGAAAGCCUUUGAUUUCUUUUUUUUAAAAAAGAAAAGAAGGUGAGAUUGUUUUUGCCUGCUUGCUGGACGUUCAUGUAAGGUCGGUCCAUUUUUGCCAGCUUCUCUGAAUAUCUGAAUUGGUUUGGUUUGGUUUGGUAGGUGAACUCGCUGUUUGUUGGUUAAUCAGUUCAGUGUACUUUUCUAUGAUGCUACCUAACUCAGCUACGCAACACCAGUCACCACACCAGACUGAUUACCUUAGCUUGGAGACGACUUCAGAAAAGGCAUCGCCAGCUUCAAGUCUGAACUUUUUUUUCUCAAACGCACAAAAAAAAAUUACACGUCAAUAUAUUAGAAUAAAAAAAUAUUUGUUACAUAACGCAUUAAGCCAGACCGACUUAUACCAAGAGAGGUGGGAAACAAAAGACCAAAGGAAAAAAAGACUCAGAAACUACGACUCCAACCAGCGGGAAGGGGGCAAAGCCCACUACUCUCCCAAUAAAACCCCAAAAUUAGCAUAUAAUUGUUGAUUUCAAACAUUUUUACAUGCACAGCCUGGAGCUGAUAUAUAUAUAUAUAUAGAUGCAGUAAUCUUUCUCUGAUAGAACAGUAGAAAUUCAAGUAGUAGCUGCUUUGAUGAUUCUUUUUGAGGCAGUUUACAUGUGGAUCAUUGCACAAGGUGGGAAAGAAAACAAUGUUCAGAGAAACUGAAACUGAAUAUUGCCGGUCCGUCAUCUUGGGCUGACGCCUGCAACAUUUUUUCUUCUCCAAUCAUGCAUUCGUUUAUGGUCAAUUUGCAGCCAAGAUUGAUGAGAGUUGGUAGUUGAGAUGCACAAUGACUCACUCCACAUAAUCUGGUGGAUGCACACGUGGCGUCAUGUCAUCUGUAUAAUUAUGAUUCCAAAACUCCAGAUUAUAAUCAGGUGGAUUCCGGGAUCUUUCACCAGCAUCAUCAGUUCCAGUUGCUGGACCUCCUGCUGGCGUCUGAAUGCAUCGCCACUGCUGUUCUGCUGUUCUUUCUCUGAAUUUCAGUAGUAACUAGCAACGGAUUGUGAGAAGCAUUUUGCCGCUGAUCGAUAGCCUGAUUAUUUUUAUUUUUUUAGAUAACGAGUAAACCCAGUCUUUGCUUCAGCAGAAGUUAAGGCCAAUUAUUACAGAAAUUGUAGCAACCAAACUAUAGACAAUGUCAAAACAGAAGAUAAGCAUAUAUAAAAAAUAAUCAGUAACCUGAUGGAGCAAUCAAUGGAAUUUUCACGCUGUUCGUCAGCUAGCUGCAGCAUGCCAAGCUCGAUCGGCAGAAAGGGGAUUAGUGGAAUUCAUGCUGCCUCGUGAAACACGUGAUGGUGUAGAUUGAUCCAUGACAAAUGAGUUGACAGGAAUGGAUGACUAACAAAUCAUGCAUGAAUGGAGUAGAAAAGUCAGAUUAUAUUUUCUUCUCUCAGACCCUAGAUUAGCUAAACAGAUAAGAGUAAAUCAAGCAAACACAAAUAAAUUAAGAGUUGGGAAUUUGUCAAGAUAACACAUAAUUUUAGUUCAUGUAGUAACACGAUAUGAAUGAAUUGUCAUCAAAAUAACUUUGAAAAAUAUUAGAGAGACAAUUCGAUUUGUGGUACGUAGGCUGGCAAUUGCAGUGCUUGUCACCAACUAAGGGGGCAUCUGGAAUGUAGGAUCGGAUGCAUGUGCAAGAUCUCAGCACCAAUUUAUACUAUGUACGACACAACCUUCACAGAUGCGAUAUUUAGUGGUGCCUACACCUGUCUCCAGUUUAAAUGGAGAUGUAGACCUAUAUCAACAUUUUCAAGUGGACAGAGUCCUCUGUCCUUAUUCCCAAGCUAAAUUAUGAUCAUCUUAGGUGUUUUAAAUGCUUAUGCAACUCAUCCUGAAAAUGCGAGAUUACCAUCUGCCGUGAAUUAUAGGAACUUUUCGCUGCUUGUCAUGCCCAAUUUUUUUUUAAUACGCAAAGUCCGUAUCUUCGUAUUAAAAUCAGAAAUUAGAUGUUUCACACGGGCGCAGCAACCAUAUAAAAGGAGAAAAAGAAAAAUCAACUAUAUACACAUAGGUCGACGUCUUGCAGUUCAUUUGGCGACCAAGUGGGCCUAGAUUGGCACUCUUGCUUCCCUCUAGCUCCGCCACUUUCAGUAUGGUUUUGCAACCACCGCUGAACACUCGGUUAUUUUGCUCCUUUCAAAUUGUCUAGGCUUUAGAAUAUCGACAGUGUCCAAUCCUCGUCUUCUAGCCGUUGCGCUUUUUUCCCGGCUAUGACACCAUGAGAGGAGGAAGGAUUGCUUGUUUGCCUGAAAGCGGUGAGGCCGGCCAAUACCACGCAAGACCAUCAUCCACCAUAGCUGGAGCGUCUUUGGACACCGGAUUAGAAUGUGGUCAAUUGUUUUCUCGUGUUGGUCACAUAAGAUACAUUUCUGCAAACCCGACAAACCUCGACCUUGUCGCGCUGUUCGGCAUUGAUGGUUGACUACACGCCAUGAGAAGUACCAGUGUCGUGAUGGGGUGUAGUAGUUCUUCUAGACUUGGUUAUCCAAGAACGCUUAUGGGUGUGUUUAGUUCACACCAAAAAUAGAAGUUUGGUUGAAAUUGGAACGAUGUGAUGGAAAAGUUGGAAGUUUGUAUGUGUAGAAAAUAUUUAAUUUGAUGAAAAAGUUUGGAACUAAACUCGGCCUAUAUGCUAAGGAAUAAGGGGCAUAUUGACUUCAAGUAGUGUUGCUAGUACAAUUCCCAUUACUUUUCACAUUAUUGUUAUAUGCAACAUCCUCCGUCAAAGUUUUGUUUUAAAGAUACAAAAUAUGACUUAUAUUUUUAGAUGAAGAAAAUAUGUAGCCGUGAUAAUUUAUGAAAGGCGACAAGGCAAGAGGCACUAGUAGUAAGAAAGGCGAAGGAGCAACUUGGACCUUGUCAUGCUCCCCCUGUUUAUGAGAAGUUGACUCUCUAGCUCUGACUCAAAUCGUACUGCAUUAUCACCAGCUCUCAAACCUUCCGGUAGAGCUGCACUUUCUCAUGUUUUUUUAUUUUUUGAACCGGUAGAGAAGCACUCUUUUCUUGUCUUUUUUAUUAUGAACCGGUGGAGAUGCACUCUCGCUUAACCAAAACAGCACCCCCCCCUUUUUUUCCCCAAAUUUUGGGUCAUGGAUUAGUUUCACGCUUAUAAAAAUAUUUACUUCCUAAAAUAUUUUCUUCUACUAUAUGAAGUUAUUUCUGAAGUUUAUUUUCUAAAAUAUAUUUUUUUAUUAAUCAAUUAAACAAUCCGUCUCAAUAGUCUGUGAAAAAAAAUAUAUUUCAACAGUGUCUAAAUGAAAAAUAAAAAUCGAAUUAAAUUAGGCGAAAUGAAAAGAAAGUCCCUGACCGAAUCACGCGUGGACGAGGCGGCCGCAGACAGCACCACGGCCAGUGCAGGGGGGGCCCACCGGCGGUUGGUGGCGGGCGAGCGGCCGCCCGGAGGUGGGGCCCACCUCGUCAGUGUCAGUGUGUGCGCGUGUGUUGGUGGGUGCGGGUCGCUGUCCGCCACCCAACUCCUCCCUCCCCACGUCGCGCGGCGCCCACCGUCCGAUCCCGACCGAAUCCCAUCGUGCGGCCGCGCCCACCCGCCUCCCGUGGUGAGGGGGGGCCUAUAAAUGGGCCGCGCGAGACCAAGGCCCAUCUCGCCGUGCCCGGUCGGAUCUAAUUAAUUUACCUCCUCCACCUCCUCCUCCUCCCCCCGAUCGGAUCGGCCCGGCUCCUCCUCCUCCGCCGCCGCCACCGCCGCCGCAGGUGAGCCGCCGAUUCCCCUGUCCUCGUUGCUGGUAGCGUUGUCGCGUGUGUGUUGCUGCUGCUGCUGCUGCUGCUGUCCGGCUUCUCCCUUCAUUCUUGCGGCUUGAAAAGGGAGAGGAGGGUUUUAGCGUUCUUGGUAGGAUCAAGCUCUCAGGUUGGAUCUGAGCUCGUGGUUGGUUGUCUUGCGGACGUAUCAUCGUGCCUAGAUAUUGAUUUGUUUGUGCUGGUUUGGGAGGGUUAUAAGGAGGGUUUAUUGCUUUUCUUUCGAUCUUGUGGUAUGGUAGAUUUAGAUGGGGUUUCUUUGGUUGGAUUUAGGUGUUGUAAGUUUUAUUUUUGUCAUGCUUGCUUAUUAUUAUGGAUGGAGAUGGAGAGAGAAGCAGUAGGAUGACUUCCUUUUAGAUGUUUAAUACCUUGAUGCUUAUCAAACGGCUUGCUGAUAAACAACAUGCUAGAGCAGUGGUUUUAGUGCUAGUAUUAUGUCUUUGGCUGUCAGCUCAUUUGACUGUUCUGCGGUAGAUUCGAGUCAUCCCCUUGGUCUUGGGAGUUGGAAUUCUUAUAAAUGAACGGAAAAUGGAAAAAAAAAUUGAUUGGUGCCACUUCAAAGUUAAAUAUGCCAAGACGAAUUGAUAUGUUUCUGCUGUUGUUUUAUGCUCUUGAUUAGUUGAUGCGCAUGUUCAAUGAUUUAUGAUGUUUGUCUUUGUGGAAAGAUUACAUGUAAAGAGUAUAGUAGAACCCCUAAAAGCUAGCCAGCGAUUUCGCUCUUUUUUUCCAGGUCUCCAUGAUAUGUUUACCCCUAAAAGUGGUAUAUUUAUGUGAUAGUUACAAUACAUAGUGGCACCACGAUUGAUUAUGCGUUUAUGCUGAUUCCGGCAGAAAAUUGUUAGAUUCCUUGUGCUCUAUACCUGCUUGUUGCGCUUGUAGAGAAUAUUACAAAUACCUAACACUUGCCCAAGGAACUUAGGAACUUAGUCAACUCUUUGUAGGGACAACUAUUUUAGCCCAAAAUUGUGGUCUUGUCAGGUGCCAACAAAACAGCAUCUUGGCGUACAUAAGCUAUAUAGAGGAUUAAAAGGAAUGUUUUGUUCCUUGCUACUGUUUUUUUAACCUGUUUACUCAGGACAAAUUUUGUUGCAUAAACCAUUUGUUCUAGGGAUCAGUAUUGUCCUCUCAGUGUGUUAUGUAAGCAUUUCCAGAAAUCAAUUGUCGCUAUCAGCUUCCCUCACAUUAGCUAUCACUUAUACCCCUUUUUUUCUCAUAGGCUCACCAUGUCCAUUUUAUUCAUGAUAUUUCUUUGUCUAAAGUAUGUGAAAUACCAUUUUAUGCAGAUAGGAGAAGAUGGCCGCACUUGAUACCUUCCUCUUUACCUCGGAGUCUGUGAACGAGGGCCACCCUGACAAGCUCUGCGACCAAGUCUCAGAUGCUGUGCUUGAUGCCUGCCUCGCCGAGGACCCUGACAGCAAGGUCGCUUGUGAGACCUGCACCAAGACAAACAUGGUCAUGGUCUUUGGUGAGAUCACCACCAAGGCUAACGUUGACUAUGAGAAGAUUGUCAGGGAGACAUGCCGUAACAUCGGUUUUGUGUCAGCUGAUGUCGGUCUCGAUGCUGACCACUGCAAGGUGCUUGUGAACAUCGAGCAGCAGUCCCCUGACAUUGCACAGGGUGUGCACGGCCACUUCACCAAGCGCCCUGAGGAGAUUGGUGCUGGUGACCAGGGACACAUGUUUGGAUAUGCAACUGAUGAGACCCCUGAGUUGAUGCCCCUCAGCCAUGUCCUUGCUACCAAGCUUGGCGCUCGUCUUACGGAGGUUCGCAAGAAUGGGACCUGCGCAUGGCUCAGGCCUGACGGGAAGACCCAAGUGACUGUUGAGUACCGCAAUGAGAGCGGUGCCAGGGUCCCUGUCCGUGUCCACACCGUCCUCAUCUCUACCCAGCAUGAUGAGACAGUCACCAACGAUGAGAUUGCUGCUGACCUGAAGGAGCAUGUCAUCAAGCCUGUCAUUCCCGAGCAGUACCUUGAUGAGAAGACAAUCUUCCAUCUUAACCCAUCUGGUCGCUUCGUCAUUGGCGGACCUCAUGGUGAUGCUGGUCUCACUGGCCGGAAGAUCAUCAUUGACACUUAUGGUGGCUGGGGAGCUCACGGUGGUGGUGCCUUCUCUGGCAAGGACCCAACCAAGGUUGACCGCAGUGGAGCAUACGUCGCAAGGCAAGCUGCCAAGAGCAUUGUUGCUAGUGGCCUUGCUCGCCGCUGCAUUGUCCAAG
rnacentral:lncRNA from 1 species